GCAAUGGCAGAUUGGGACCUACCACUGGAGGUAUGGGUAGCCCUGAAAUCGGAGGAAGGGGUAGCUUAGGGACGGUCACUGGAGGAACGGGUAGCUUAGGUACAGUUACCGGGGGAACGGGUAGCUUAGGGACUGUCACUGGAGGAACGGGUAGCUUGGGGACGGUCACUGGAGGAACGGGUAGCUUGGGGACGGUCACAGGAGGAACGGGUAGCUUAGGUACAGUCACUGGUGGAACGGGUAGCUUAGGGAUGGUCACAGGAGGAACGGGUAGCUUAGGGACGGUCACCGGAGGGACUGGUAGCUUAGGGACGGUCACCGGAGGAACUGGUAGCUUAGGGACGGUCACCGGAGGAACUGGUAGCUUAGGGGCUUUAGGGGAGUGCUUUCCGCCCUUCCGUGGGUUGCAAGAGCCGCAUGCGAGAGAAUGUUGGGGGAGAUAGAUAAUGCAAAUGAGGAAGAGGCAAAGAGAGAGAGAUGAGAGUUUGGAGGAGUCCAUGUUGAGUAGAGUGGAUGGUGUAACUAUACGAAAGAGUAUAUGAAUAUAUAGAGGGAAAAUGAGAAGAAGAAUUCACGUGAAGAUGGGGGCUACUUCUGCAAUAAGAAGAGACGCCCCAAAAUAAGCAUGGUUGGCAAUUAUCAUAAGAAUACAAGAUUUCCUUGAUGACCCAUCGCUAUAUAUCAUCACAUGUCGACCACACUUUUUUCACUUUUUUUUUUCUAAGUGCCUCUUGUUCUUGGGUUAACUACAACUUUUAACAACGUGUAACUUCAGUUUCAACAGUACAGUACAUUUAACUUGUAGGAAUUGUAAUGAAUCAACUUAGCGAGACUAGGUCAUUAUGAGAUAUCAUCAAUACUAAAUAACAUUUUGAUGAUGUAAACACUCUAGGAAAAGCAGAUAAUAUAGUAUCAUAUGGUUUUCGCUUUAGUGUGUGGCUUCAUAAGCAUCUCCAUGCAUGAGUCGACUGCUAAGGAACAUAUAGAUCUGCACCAUAGUGAAGACGGCUUAGUCUAUUCAAAACACUAAUGUUGUGCCUUUCGAGGACCUCCCGAGACUCGAAUUCGAAUGCACUCUCCAAAGGUAUUAUGUUAGGGAAAAAACCUUAUUAAACCAAAUAUGUUACUGUUUAACCCAUACACGAAAAUUAGAUAUAUAAAUGUUGAACAAAUAGCAUAUAGUUAUAUCCAAUAUAUACGUACAUGAGAGGUAAAGAAGACAGCAAGACUGACAUGUGAAAUUCGGGAUACACUUUUGUUGUUUGGUGAUUUUGUUACGUAGUGUCAUUAAAGAAACGAUCAUGUGUGCGUGGACCAUCUUCUUCUUUUUACCGCUCAUUUCCCUUUUUACCAUAUCUACUACAAAAGAGUCCGAACUGACCAUUUAAUGAACGAGUACCAUUCAAUUCAUAAACUCCCCGUAUCAAUCUAACUGACACUGUAAAAGUUAUAAUGUUAAUAUAUAAAAAUAAUAUGGUUAUUUAGCAUGAAUAAUAACUUUUUAUAAUUGAGAGUAUGUCUAGCUAACAUUGGUGAUUGGUGCUUACAUAAAUCAUAUUUUUCAAACCACUUAACAAGAACUUUACAUAUUCAAUGAUAAACGAAUCACAUUUAUACAAUAUACCAUUCAAAAAUAAUAUUGUAAGAUGAUUUGAAAUUAAACGAUUGUAAUAUAUAAUGUGUUAAAAGUAAUGUAUUAUAGAUAUCUUGUAAUUAUUUAAAGGGUUUUGUGCAAAAAAAAAAACCACUAACUCAUACAUUUUUCCAAUUUACUAUCCAGCUCUAAUAAAUGCACAUUAAUCCUAUGAAUCUAAAAUAAUACGCAUUGUAACCCUUUUUGACCAUUUUUUGCUACCAUCAAUUUUGUAAAAUAUUGAUAUAUAAUAUGUUAAAUCAAAGCUCUCGCGACCAAGAGUUCAACUCUACCUUUAAAAAUUUUAAAAUGUAAUGUAUGUAACCGUAAAAACGCUUGUAAUAUGCAUAUGAAAUUUAUAUUACAUAUUAUGUUAAACUUCAUAAGAUUAAUCUGCAUUUGUUGGUAGUGCAUUUGUUAGAGGUGGAAGGUAAUGUUGCAAAAAUAGAUGAGUUAAAAGAUUUCUUUUUGCACAAAACCCUUUAUUUAAACUACUAACAAUAUAAUAUAUAAAUAAUUUAAAACAUAUAUCUCUAUAAUUCAUGAAGUAAUAAUGGUGUACCCUAUCCUUACCAACGAAUAAUAAAGAAAUGAUAUUAACUCUGAUUCAAAAGCUAUAUAUAAGAUAUUCUUUUUUUUUCCUCGGGAGGGAUACGAAUCCGGUAACAUGAAUCAGUGUCCAAUAAGAGCCAGUGGUCGUAAAUUCCAAAUGACAGAUGGAUGACUCAUUUUAAUUCGUAACUUUUGUCAGCUGCGAUAUAUGCUAAUGAAACCUGAGGUGCUAGAUUUUGAUUUUAAUGGCUUUAGAUUCUUACUCAACACUCAAUGGCCCACUCGUUAAUCUCUUACCUUCUAAAGUGAGUUAUGAUCCACUGCUUCUUUCUUCUUGUAGAUAGAUGGACCUGUUUUUUUUAGGUUGUGAUUUGUGGACAUUAAUCAACAACCCAUGUUUAUACGUGAUAAUGUCUGGAGCUAUAUGUAAAGGCGAUAUGGAGGACAACAUUCCUCUAUUCUAACUUUAAAAGCCAUGUAGUUAGGGCUGGACACCAAUAUUCUUUUUUUUUUUGCUAAAUUGUAAAUAUCAUUUUGAUGAAAAAUCAGGUUUUACAACAGUUGUAUAACCUAAAACAUUUGAACUCUUUGGCAAAAAAGAAUAAAAAAACGAAGAGCCAAUCGAGAGCUGCAUAGAACUCGGUAGUUUCAUAGCAGCCACAACGCUAUUAACUUGCGAAAAAGGAGUCUGUUUCUUCUUGAGGUGAUAACGUUUUUGAUUUUGCGGUUGAUGCACUUGAAUAUAGAAUGCGGAGAGAGGGAAGUAGCGUUGUGCAGGACAUUGUUAGGCUGCUUCAAGAUGUGGAAGACCUUAGACUGAACGACAAUAAUUUUAAGAACUGAUGAAGCCAAUAUUCAUCAUUUUCAAACAAAAAAUAUCUUUUGUUUGACACCAAUAUCCUUGACCAGCUUCAAACAAAGGAUAUACAUCAUUUUUAAGUCGGGUAAGGCAAAUGAGUAUAAGGAUUCUCAUUACACAUCUGGUUGCCAAAAACUUUUAGUCAAAUACUAGUUACAAUCUCAGUUUUUUACCCCAAACUUUUUGCCACUUAAAAAACUAGGGGUGGGCAUUCGGGUAAGCGGGUCGGGUUCGGGUUCGGGUAAAACCCGAUCAGGUAUAAAGAAGUUUAGGAUCUAAUAGGGUAAAUCUAAAAUAUCGGUUCGGUUUCGAUUCGGGUCCAACCGGGUUCGGAUAUAGAUUUGUGGCCUUUUUUUAUCCAGAUUUUUCGGGUAAAAUUUUGGAUUUCGGAUAAAAUUUAGAUUUUUGAAUAAAAUAUUUGGGUAUUUUCGGGUUCGAGUUUGUUUUUUCGGGUAGAGAAAUUUAGGAUCCAGUAAAGUACAUCUUCGGAUUUGGAUUAAGUUUCAGCUCUAAUUUUUCGAGUUAGUUUCGGUUCGGAUAAUCGGUUCUGGUUUUUUGGCCCGGCUCUAUAGAAAACCAUCAAUAAAUAUUUUAAUCCUAUUUCUGCCUCAUUACUCGAGAAAAUAUUCGACCCGUUUUAUUACUUGAUAAAUUUACAACUAUAUAUUUAUGUAAUCUAUUUCAUAUUAGUAAAAUAUAUUAAAUUUGUUAUUAAAACCAAAUAUCUUUUGAGAUUAGGGCAAUCAAAAGUUAAGGUCAAGCAAAUGUCUCCUUUCUAAAUGUUUUUGUGGGUAACGGUAAAGGACAAAUAUACAGCCCAUGCCCAGACCUACAAGUAGCGACUCCAUUACUACACAGUAAGAUUUUUAUUAAUAAAAAUGUGCAUGGUUUCAUUUAAAAGUCAUUGCUAACACUUCACUUUACAGUAAUAUUCAAUUUCAUACCUUUAAACGUUAAUCAGAAUCGCCAAUUGGAAGCCAGUCACUGGAAUCACCUUCCGAAUCCUUGCUAUGUCCAACUUGGCUCUUGCUGAGCUGAACCCAGCUUGACCCGCUUGCGUUUGAUGCUGGUCUUUUCAGUGUACUCCUGUUGGGACUUGGCUUCUCCGAGAGAUCAUCGACAUCUAAAUCACUAAAGGAGAUUACCUCUUCAUCUCUGAAACUCCUCCGUUGUUCUUCAGAUGACUCAUCACUUAUCUCCCUUUGCUCAAUUUUUAGAGUCUCUAUCUUGUCAAUGACUCCCUCAACGGUUUCUGUUUCCCUACUGCUACCUUCUUCAGGAGUUUCGUGACCAGUAGUGCUCUUGCUUGACCCUGUCUCUUUCUUUUGCAGCUUUAGUAAAAGUUGAUCCCUUGUUUCAAAUACCUGUGCCGCACAAUAUAGUUAUUAAAGUUUCAGAAAUAGGUACAAUAGUAACUUGGGAAAAAAUGCAGAGCAUAAAAGAUAUAAAACAAUCCAAUUUUAAAAGCAUCAGGCAAAAAUACAUUUUUUCCUGAGGCUAUACUUGUUCUUAUUGCAAUCGGUUGAAGGGGUCAUUAUAGCAUAAACGUUUACGAUUUUAAUAAUAUUGGAUCAAUACUGACAUUUCAGAAGAAUGUAUUUCCAGUAUACAGUCUUACCUUGCAUGUUGCUAAGAGUUCAAAAUCAUGCCCAUUCAGUCUCGGCAUCAGCAAAAUAAAAUAAAUCAGCCAGAAGUGUUCAUCAUCCAUGUAACUACUAACUUGAUUCUUCACAGCUACAAGGCCAGGAACCAAAUCUUCAAUGGCUGAUGCAUGUGCCCUUUGAGCCUCAGACAGUUCAAAUUCUGCAAUGUGGACAUGAAAAGUUGGAGAAAAACUUCAGCAUAAUUCAGUAGGUAAAAUUGAUGUAAACCACCAAUGCUUUUUAUCAGGAAGUGUUUCGACAACAUUUUCAAGCAAACCAAGCCUAUAUACAAAAGGUUGUACAGGAUGACGAUAUGCUUCGCAAUAAAAUAAAUAAAAAGAUUUAAGUGGCAUAUGGAUUGAACUAUAUAUAUAUAUAUAUAUAUAUAUAUAUAUCCCAAGAAGAGACUGCAGACCCCGUCAAGUUUAUUCGUAAUUCCUGGAGAUCUAUCUAAAGAACAGGGACUUCAAAAAAAAAAAUUAACUGCAGAAACAAUCAAUCUUGUCCAAACAGGUCUAGAAUAAAACACAUCAAGAGUUAAAGACUGAAGCAUAAUCAUCUUUGGCGACUGAAAACAAGUCAACUAUAUUUCCAAGAACAAUCAUGUUUAUUCCUGCAUGGCUGCAAGUUCGUCGACAAUAUCUUCAAGGUAUGAAAAAUGUGAUCUACAGAGAGUAAUGGGACCCCGAGAUCCUAAAGACCUGAGCUUGAAGAAAUAUAUCCCAAGAGGAGAUGGCAGGACCGGUCUAACCUAAUCUAAAAUACUAGGAAAUCUCUCUAAAGAACACCAGAGGCUACAAGCAAUCAACUGUACAAACAAAAAAAAUAUUUUCCUAAUAAAUCACAGUAAGAAAAUCAUAACUAAACAUAGAUAGUUAGAAACCACCAAUGCGGUGCUUCGACUAUACUUUCAAACUAACAAAGCCUAUAUACUGGGAACAAAAAUAUGCUUGAAGAAAUAUGUCCAAAUAAGCUUAAUCUGUAACCCUAGUGAUCCCACUAGAAAGCCAAUCAACUGUAGAAGCAAUCAAUCUUUUCCAAAUAAAACCUAUUUUAGUAACAAUUAUGUUUGCCUACUGGGAAAAAAAAAAGUCAAUGCAGAGCUUAAGACUAUUGAGAAUCAAGCUUUAUGAUUCCUCUAUUGACUAUACAGGAGCAUUACCAGUAUCGAGUGACAAUGGAAAAUCUGUCCAACAACCAGGUUUCGUCGAGAUUUUAACAGCGAAAUCGACUACUUCUUCAGAGAUUCCAGGAACUUGAUCGUUCAACGGAGAUCUUCUACUACUUUCUCUAUCUCUUAGAUUACUAGGAAAUUGGAGUAAAUUAGAUGCGAAAUUGGAGAAAUUUCCACGAAUCUCGGCUAGAUCGUUGCGGAUCCCGAGAAGACCUAGCUGAGUUGGUGAAUUAUCAGAGGAGAGUCGGCGUUCGUUUACAGGUGGAGAAGGAGGCGGUGCCAGGAAAGCUGCGACGCCACGGAGUAAGGAAGAUAAAUCUUCUUUGACACCGCCAUGAGUUGUGGAAGGAUCGGGAUCGGGAUCGUGAUCGUCAUCGCCGCGAGAUUUGAAGAGCCAAGACAUGGUUUUUGAGUGAGAGAGGUUGGAUUUGGGGUUUUCAGUUUUUUUUGCACGGGGUUACGAAUAGCAAGAGAGAAGAAACGGUACGUUUUAAUACCUUUCCAAAACGCACCGUUUGUUGUUUGUUCGUUUUGAUACCUUCCCAAACGUGAAAUAAACGAACAAUAAUUAUACAAAAUAAACGGAAACAAAACCUACUUUUUAAAACGGGAAAAUAUCGUUUUAUACGUGAUGUUUUUAAGAAUGGUCAUUUUAUAUGUAAACUUUUAGAUCGAUCAAAUAAAAUAUGAUAAAAAUGUUGAUCCGCUAUUUAAACAAAACAUAAAGUUUGCCUGGCCAAAAUUUCCGAAAUGUUAACUUGUAUUAACGGAUCUGAUAACCCUCGUUAGCAGACGUUAGUCGUCUUCCGUUAAUACCAAACGAUUUUUUGUGAUGAGUACAAACCUUAAAAUUCCCAAAUCGAUUUUUCAUUCCCUAAUUCUUCAUAAUCCCCAAAAUUUGAACUAUUCUCGAUAUAUUUUUUUUGAGCUCAAAAUCUCCAUUUUGUGUAGAUAUGAGUUUAAAAAAUUUGAGUGUUCAAGAAGGAGGAAGUGGGAACCUUGGGUUUCCUUCAAAGUGUCAUUGGGGGAGAGAUUUCAUCAUCUAUAUAUCAAGCUCGACGAAGAACCCAAGAAGAUCCUUCUUCUGUUGUCCAACAUAUCAAGAUGUAAGUAGAUUUGAAUUUGUUUUUUUUGGUGUUUGAUCGGUAAAAAGUUGUCGUUGUAAAUGCAGGACCAUUUGUUUAAGUGAGUCGAAGAUUGUGUGUAUGAAGAGGUUGUAGAUGCAAUACUGAUAAUCUCUAUGAUUGAUAGCUAGAUAAACAAUGUCAAAUUUCAGGUUGUAGUCGAGAUUGCAGAAUUAAAGGUUUUGAUCCAAGAAUUGAAGGAAGAUGAAAUGUGGAGCAAAAUGGAAUUGAAGAUAUGGAAAUCGAUGACCAAAUUGUGCUUGGUGUGCCUUUGUAUAACAGUCAUUGCAAUUAUGAUCAUAAUGUUCUAUAAGACCAAAAACCAUAAGCUUGUUCUUGGUUACUAGUGUUUUGUGUUUGUAAUAAAAUGUUUUUAUGGUACUGAAAUGUUUGUUUGGCAAUGAUAAUCAGUCCUAGUGUUUUGUCUUAGUGUUGUGAUUGUAAUGAAAUGCUACUAGAUGCUUGUUUAACAAUGAGAAUCACCAAAAUGAAACUCAUUCAUACAUUAUAAAACUUGUGUCACAAAGACAAGUCGAAACCACAAAAUGAAAUCGAUACUAAGCUUAUGUCAUAAAGACAAAUCCAUUAUGUCAACCACCAAAAAUAAACUUAUGAGAAAGCUUAAGUUCAAACAACAACAAAAAGAAACUUGUGACUAAUCUUGUCUUGAACACUCAAACCAUGAUGCAAAUCCACCAAGUCCUUGUGGUUGAGCAUGUGGCUCAGUUUGUGCUUGUGCUUGUGGUUCUGUUUGGGAUUGUACUUGUGAUGCUCCACCUGUCUCCCUUGGUCUUUCUGAUGUUCCGCCUGUUGCCCUUGGUCCUUGUGAUCGAAUAUGAGAUUGUGAUCCUUGAUGAGGUUGUGAUCCGUGUAUUUGCUCUUGCGAUUCGAGCACUUGAGAUCGUGAUCCUUAAUGAGAUUGUGAACUUUGAUGAGGUUGUGAUCUUAGCACUUGUGAUUCCUCCUAAGUUAAAUAUGACAGUCUGAACAGUUGCAUGAUUAAGUGAGUUGUAAAACAUAUAAAAAAAAACAAGAAUACAAACCUGAUUUAUUCGUGGAUGACCUCUUGGUCUCUUUGGUGGAAUCAGAAUAGUGGCAUUUUUGCAGCUUUGCUUGUUUGCCCUUGUUGAAGGCAGUUAGAGCAUGUCAUGAUUCUCUUUUGCAGUGGCAUCUUGUUCUUAUUUGAAGAAGAAGAAGUCUCAUUUCUUCCUUUUCUCCUAACAUAAUUACUCGGUCUUCCAACAUUUCCUUUUGUCCAUGGUGGUGGCAAAACAGGGAGCCUAUUGGUUUUAGGCCACAAUGGCAUACCUUGGACAAGGCUAAUACCAUCUUUAUAAGUUUUUCGCCAGAUUACCUUUGUGUAAAACUUGCUCACAUAGUCUGCAACUGUUUCUCUUCUUCCUAUUAUCACAGGUGUCGCAUAAAUACAUGGGAUCCCCACCAUCUACCACUUCCUGCGACCACAAGUUCUCUUCUCCGUAUCAACAUAGUAGCUAACACCAUUCACAUCAAUUUGAUACAAAUUGUUUCUGGACAUAUAUCUCUCGCAAUUUCUAACCCCAACUAUCAUUUUCUCAAUCUCAAGAUGGGCUCUCUUUGUGAACCUUGUCUUCAAUUUGUCAGCAAUGAUAUACGUCUUCGUAGUUAUGACCAUGCAUUACCUCUGGAUGUACUCUAGCUAAUCCAACAAAGGCUUUCUCCUAGCCUGUUUAAUAGUCUUAUUAAAAGACUCACACUGAUUAUUGAGGCUGUCAUUGCAACGUGUCCAAUUCUAAAGAAGGCUCUCGACCAUGUCAUUGGACUAGUAAGUUGCGAGUGGCAUGCGCAUGAGGAUUGUAUCUCUUUAGCUCUUCCAUAUUAUUCAUGAACACUUCUUCAGUGUAGCUUCAAAUUGUUUUUCAAAGAGACAUUGUAGUUCUAUCUCAUGGUUGUCUCUCUUCCAAUUGUCCAUUAUAUGCCUUGAAUAUUGUCGAUGCUCAACUUCUGGAAGUAUGGUAUUGAUAGCUUUGACUAGACCCUGUAAAAUAACACAAAAACAUAAGCGUAAACCCUUCAUAAAAGACAUUAAACUGAAGCAAAAGAUGAUAAAAUUAACUGAUUAUUUAUCUGAAAUGAUAACUAGAUGUUGCAUUUCACAGUCCCAAACUAGUAGAGAGCUGUCUCAAAAACCAGUCCCAAUUAUCAUUGUUUUCUAUCUCAACAACUGCCCAAGCUAUAGGAACAAUCCUCUUAUCUCCAUCUCUUCCAACUACAGCUAAAAGGUGACCUUUUACAUCCCAUUUUAGAAAACCCAUCUAUUCCUAUCACAGGUCUACAAGUUCGCUUCCAAGAAUCCUUUUGAGAUUUAAAGCAGAUAUAGCACCAGAGAAAAGAAUCCUUUUGUGAUAUAAAGCAGCUAUAGCAUCAGAGAAACCUUUGCUUGCUUCCAAUAAAAAGCCCUACUGUUGUCUCUAUCUCAAACUCUGUCUCUGGGUUCUACUUUAAAACCUCCGCUUGAUAAUCUCAUAUUCUUGAAAAGUGAUCAUUAUGAGUAGCAUGUCAUGCUUUCAACACUUUGGUCUUGGCCUUUGCACAUUGGUCUGGAGUCACAUCCAAAUUGAAUUCUCUCUGAAUCUCAACAACCAUCUCGUUCUUUGAAAUAUUUGGAUUCACUCUCAGCCUUUCAUCAAACAAAAGUGCAAUGGAAGACCGCUUCAACAUCUUUGAAUAUCCUGACCUAACACAAGUAUGCAUAUAAAAUCUUACUUGCAUCUUAUGUUUUGUCUUCUCAUACGAACAAUAUACUUUCCAACCACAUUUAACACCAUCAACACCAAUUUAUGACCACUUCGCAGCAACAACCAUAGAUUCAGACCCAUAAAGAGAAAUGGUAUACCAUGUCUUUAAAGAGUACAUCAAAAGAACACGCUUGAAGUCGUGUUUAUAUCCUCUUCACCGCGUAAACCACCAUUAUAAUCGUUAUCUCCACCACCAACCACAUCAUCAACGACAUUGCAGUCUUCAUCACCAUACACGGCGCAGUCUUCUUCAUUUUUCAGGGUCAGGCUCAAAUGUAGGUUCUUCAUCCUCCUCUUUUUAAUGUCUGACUCUUCUUCGUUUUUGUUUUCAAAGCCGCUUUGAAACUCGAGCUUUAACUACGAUAGAAGACUCUACUACGCCUACAGCCGGCAGAGCUAGAACUCCGUUAUCAAACUCUAAAACUGCUUCCGCUGGUGGAGCUCGAACAACAUCUUUGGUGUCAUCUUCGCCUCGUGGUGGAGCUUCAUCAUUGUCUAAUUUGCCUUCCAUUGAUACAAUCUAGGACUCCAAGGAUACAAAUUCAAGAUGAAAUCAAAUCAAAAUCGCGAUUUCGCCAAAGUAAGAAUUAGGGAUUUGGUUUUUGGAAAUUAGGGAUUUUGAAAUCAAAAUGGGAAUUUCUGUUUCAGUUUAUGAAACGACAUUGUUUUAGGCAUUAACAGAAAAAAUUAACGUCUGCUUACAGGGGUUAUCGGAUCUGUUAAUGCAAGUUAACGUCUCGGGGAUUUUGGUCAGGUCAACUUUAUGUUUUGUGUUAAAUGGCGGGUCAACGUCUUUAUCAUGUUUUAUUUGGCCGACCUAAAAGUUCACGUAUAAAAUGGCCACUUUUGAAAGUUCACGUAUAAAACGACAUUUUUCCCUUUUCAAAAACCUAAUUUAUUUCGCAUAAUUAUUGUUCGUUUUGAAAAGUAGGUUUUGAUUUAAUAUUAAAUUUAUUCGGGGAAAAAGAAUUAUACAUUUACAAGUAGGAAAAAUGGGUAAAAAAAACCUCACCUUUCCCAAAUACAUUUAAAAAAACCUCAACUUUUUGUAGGUUUUUAAACCCUCACCUUUUCAAAAAUGGUAAAAUAACAAUUAGCAUUAUUAAACCAAAUAAAUACAAAUUAAAUACUAAAUAAACUAUUAUAUUAAGACAUAAAAAACAACAUAAUUUAUAAUCUAUCUUUUCCAAAUUUGAGUUUAGGAUUUUUUUUCUUCUAGAAUUUAGUUGUUUUUUGUGAUAUAAAAAAUAAGUUUCAUUGCCAUUAGAAAUUGGUAUGUAAACUAAAACAAUUUAUAACAUAGCACAUUUUAUUUUAUUUGUGUUCAACUAUGUUCUAACCUUUGAAGUUUUGGAUUUAAAAUGGAUAAAAUUUAUUAACACAAAUUUGAUCUAAACUUGAGUGACCUAAUAUUUGUUCUAAACUUGUGUGAUCAAAACUUUAUUCUAAACUUAAGUGUCCAAACCAAAUAAAAUUUUAUUAAAUAUAUUUUAUAUUUAGUUAUUACAAAAUUAGUUUAGUUUUACGUUGAUGAAUUUCUUGAACUCAACCAAAUUAAUCUUGUUUCAGUUCACUGCAUAUGUAGAAGAAUAUAUAUCUAUAUAUAUAUACAUAUAUCAUACCUAAAAUAAAAUAAUUAUUUUUAUCCAAAAUUUAAUUAAACUUACACUCGAAACAAAAUAAAUAAACUUUGAAUAGACUUUGGAUAUGUUAUCUUCAGUAUGAAACCAAUUGUCUGAACCAAAUUUAAAUUGUUUUCACAUAAAACAUUUUACUAGAAGAAAAUAUUUAAGAGCUAUGUCUUUGGUUAGAUUAGAAUCGACAUAUUUCGUUUUCAAGAUUGUUUAGUGGUAGUUUGUUGUUUUGCGUCAAGUUUUUUUUAAUGUUUUCUUUUCCUAUUUUUGUCGGGUUCAUCUCUUGCUUUUGGACCGGUCAAUCUAUAACUUUUCACCUUUAUAAUAAUAGGUAAAGCGGUUGUGUGACUCUUUCAUUUUCCUCUACUCAAGUUUAAGACUAAAUCUGGUCAAAUUUUUAUUAGACUAGUUAUGAUGGUUUGUUAUAAACCAUUUCACAACUGUUGAAAAAAUUAUUUCCACUACAAUGGUUUAUUGUAAUCGAAAAGUAAGUGAGAUGGCAAAUUUAUCAACACUCAUGAGAGUAGAAGAAAGAAGAUAAGUGUGACAAGUGUUAUAUUUUGAUUGGUUGCUUUUUUUUUUUGGACAAAAGCUUGUUUUUAUUCAAUUAAGAGAGAAACAAGUACAAAGGAACAAGGAUUCUAAGAUCCCAAAGUUUAAAGGACAACAAAGGUAGGCAUUCCCAACACCAUAAGAAGAAAAGCUAACACACAAAUAAGGUACAUCAACAAUGGUUCCAUGAGAGCUAUAAUCCAAACACUUGAAGGGAAUUUGUUACUUUUAAGAUCAAGGAUUGUUGACAAAUCUUCCACGAACAAAGUAGUGGAUGAGAGUAUGGUUACUGUCAAAAGACUUAGUAACGUUAACAAGGGCGCCAAAGACAUGAAUCUCGUCGGGACGAGAAGUACUACACCAAGUAGUGCUUUUGCAAAGGUUCGAACAAGGUUUUGGUAAAGGAAGGAGGAUCGUCGAGGCUUAGAAAGAUUGAUGCGAGACCGUAACAGAACAGGUGGGUCCUCUCUCCCAAGAAGACCAAGGAGAUUAAGGAAUUCCACACAAAGCUUGUAGUCGGUUUGCCACAUGAAGAAAAGGCCAGACAUGAGGAAAUUGAGUAGAUAUCACUUUGAGGCACUAGUCAAUAGGGAGGGAUCUCUCACAAGAGAAUUGAGAAGUUCAUGUUGAAGCUUGAUCCAAACCCGGGGAGUAAUGGUGAAUGGGAGGUUCUUGAAGUUGGUCGAUAUAGUUGUCAGUAUGAAAUACUUUGAUAGAGAGUUUUGGUGACUAGCGUCACAUCUCCGACAGAUUGGACUAAGAAACACUAGACCAUGAAUCUUCAAAACGGAAUCAUAAAACAUUGCCCUAGCUAAACCUAGCACCAAGGUUCUCAGAUAAUAUUUGUAGGAGCAUAUCAACGAGGGUGAUUCGUCAUUCAAGUGGUGUCCCUAACCCCUCAAAAUAAAGAAACGAUGUCUACAUUGGGAUAGACUCGGCAAAUUGCAGAUGGAGGAAUACCUGGAUUUUUGUGAUAAUAGGUUUGGGUCGCAAUUUAUGGGCUUGGGCCGCGAGGGAAAUGGGCCAACAUUGGAGACAGGGCCCAUCAAAGAAAACCCUCGAUUCCAGAUUGUUGGGCAAGGAGCGUUGGGAGUGCGGCGGCUACGGUAGAGAGGUACGAAUUGCACAAUUGAAGCAGACGUCUCUGAUGUAAAUAGAGUUAGGGUGAACAAGCUGCAUGACGGGUCCGGCGCUGAGGCUAUAACAACGGCUAAUGGUUUGGCAAAAGAACGUCGGAGAAGCCUUAGGGAGCCGAAAGGUCCCGCAGAUCUAGUAACGAUGAGGAGGCGGAGACAAGGCUCAGGUUGGAAGGAUUGGUCGCCUAUGAAAUUGAAAGCUUCACAAACUGUUUUCUUUGAUUCGCAAGGUUUGGACAGAGAGUGUAGCUUGCUCGGAGGCCACAUUUUGCCUAUGUCGGAGAAUACUGCUUCAAAGAAGAUUCAACAGCAAAGAAGAACUCGAUAGAUUUGGAUUAAAAGGUUUGCAACAGAAGAAAACUAAAUUACAACGAAGAAGUAGAUGAAAGAUUGAGGAAAUAGCUCGAGAGAUGAGAGGGAGGUUCCGAUGCCGGCGAGCAUUUGCUCCACCGACGUCGGAAAGAUGAAGGGAGAUAGUUUCCUCGAUAUUAGUGUCUAUUAGCUCCACCGACGUUGAAAAGAUGAAGGGAGAUAGUUUCCUCGAUAUUAGUGUCUGGGAGAGAAACUCUUUAAAAUCUUAGUCUCGCAAAAAAUUUGAUUGGUUGCUUUGAUUUCUAUAUUUUUUUUCUUAAUUACAUAACUUUAAUUAUUUCAUAAUAUUUAUAAAUAAACAUAUCAAAAUUUACAAUUUUUCAUUCUCUAUAAAUAAACACUAUCUUCAUUUGAUUUGGACAAAACAAAAAUAAUCUUUCUUUAGAAAAAAAAAAGUUUAGUCUCCAAUAAACUUUUGUUUUAGCUUUAAAUAUACUUUUAUCUAAAUGGAUCCAAACAAUAACCUUUCAACACCCAAAACUUUUCUAAUUACUUUUAAACUAUCCAAAUCCCAACAAUUAUUAGUUGCAGGUGUGUCAGAAGGACAUUGAACGAGCAUUUGGAGUGUUGCAGGCUCUAUUUAAAAUUAUUCGCGAACCAGCUCGACUGUGGGACAUAGCCGAUUUGACUAUCAUCAUGAGGUCGUGUAUCAUAUUGCAUAAUAUGAUUGUUGAUGAUGAACGACAGACGUAUACUCAACAUUGGACUGAUUAUGAUCAAUCUAAGGCAAGUGGGCCGAGUACAUAACAACCAUUCUCGACCAAAGUGCUACUUGUAUUUGCAAAUCAUCUGCGUGGUAGAUCCAAGUUGCGUGAUUCAAAUGUACACCGCAAAUUGCAAGCAAAUCUAGUCAAACAUAUAUGGGCACAAUUUGGAAUUUUCCAUGGUGAAUGAGAUUUUUAAGUUUGUGAGUUGAGAUUAAUAUACUAAUUAAGUUACAAAUGUUUCCUUACUUGUUGUGUGCGUAUUGUAUUGCAUUUUAAAUCUAUGUUCAUUGUAUGUGUUUUAGUAAUGAUUAUUUUUAUUUCUAGUUUUUAUUAUUUAUAAAGUUUUUUUAAAAAAUAUAUACAAAUAUUAAAACAAAAACUAUUUUAUAAAAUUUAUUUAAUAUUUAAUUAUUUAAAUUUAAUUUAAUAUUAACGGUGAUUAAUAAUAUUUAAUCACAAAAAACAUAAACAUAAAUAAAAUGAAAAAUAUAAAAUAAAAAUUGUGGGAUAAGGUGUUGUAAUUUUAUCAAACAAAACUAUUGUAGAGGGAAAAAAUUAUGUAGGUGUGGAAUAACGAUGUGGAAGAGAGAGAAAACGAUGUGAAGUGUUAAAAGGGAAAAAAAGGGUGUUGUAAAUGGGUAACCAUUGUAGAUAGUCUUAGGAAGUGAAUGGUGACUUUAAGAUUUGCAGAUUUCGAAAGAAAAAGAAAAAAAUGCACUAAUGUCACCAAUCAGACAUAUGUGUGUAAUUUGUUUUUUUUUACAGAUAAUUUGGCACACACAUUUCAAAGCAUGUUAAUACACUAGGGAUAAAAGAAACACACUCUACUAUCGUCCAAGGGAUAUUUGGCAGCGCUUAACUAAAAACUUGCAUUACACAGUAAGUAAUAAAUCAAUUAUUUAAUUAAUAAUAAAAUGUACCUAUAAAUCAGAUCAUGUACUCUAAAACUAUUCACACAUUACAACCAAAAACAACAUCCUCUCAUAUUUCGCUCCAAUCCAAAAGAAAAAAAAAACAAUCUCCCACCCUUUCGUCAUAUAUUACAACAUUUAAAUGUAAAUUACUUUUACUAUACUAGUAUAAUAAUUACUUAUAACAAAAUAUUUCUAUGUAAUUAAGGUCUCUUUAUAAAUAAAUAGGACUGAAAUUAAGUAUAUAAAAUUGUUCAAAAUUUAGUAAAUCAUAAAAUGUUAUAUUUAUGUACAUAUUUAUAUGACUAUGUUUUAUUUUUAUAUUCAUAACAUCAGUAUUAAAUUUUAAUCAAAUCAUAGAAAUUUUUAAAUAUGUAUAAUAAAUGGUUGUGAUAGUAUUUACUAAUCAAGAUGUAUAUAUAUUUAUUAAAAAGAGAAAGGAAAAUUUUGAAGAUAUACAAAAUUACUAUUUUUUUAAAUUAUAGUUUAGUAUAUUUAUAUUAGAUGGUAAUAUGAUAUUAUGAAUUUUUUCAAAACUUAAUUAAAUCAAUUAAUUUAAUCAUAUCAAAAGUUACUUAAAUCAAUUCAUUUCCAUCAUUAUUAAAUUUUAAACAAAUCAUAGAAAAUUAAAAUAUGAAAAGAAAUGGUUGUGAUAGUACAAUAAAGUGAUUCCGAGUUCCCUUUGCCUCCGUCGGAGAAGUAUUAUCUAGUUGAUUAUGACUACCCAAACAAAUAAGGAUUUCUAGUUCCUUAUAGAUCGUCAGGAAAUCGAGUUGUGAGAUAUCAUAUGUCUCAAUUUUAUUUUGGUCCUCCUCCUAGAAACAAACAUGAACUAUUUAAUAUGUCAUGCAUCUUUACGUUCUGUUAUCGAGAGAACUUUUAGAGUUUCGGAAAAGAAAUGGAGGAAUCUUUUUCAUUUUCCUAGAUAUAAUAUUCAUAUUCAAAAAAGAGUGGUAAUGGUUAUAGUGUGAUUACAUAAUUUUAUCAGAAUUUCAAACUUCUCAGAUGUAGAUUUUCUUGAUGUAAUGACAGAGACAAAUAUAAACUACAGAGAUUAUGAUCAUCAUUUAGAUGACAUAGAAGCAACAGAGAUAACAAAUGGAGAACAUAUGAUGCCAAUAAAAGACAAUAUUGCAAAUAUGUUAUGGCAAAAUCAAAAUAAUAUAAAAUAUUUUUUAAUGUUUUUUAUGAUGAAAUUAGUUAAGGCAUGUAACAAUAUGUAUGUUACAAAAUUAAAUUUAUAUUUUGAUCAAUUUUUGUAUUAGUGGUUUAUAAAUAUCUGUUAUUGUUUAUUUAUUAACACAAAAAAUUAAUUAAUUAUUAAUAUAUAUAUAUAUAUAUAUAUAAUUUAUAAUUCGCACCGCAUGUAGUUUUUUCACCAAUCAAACAUUAUUUUGUACCGCUUAUUUUGAAUAAACCGUACUUAUCCCGCAAAUAUAUUUCUCCUACACGAACCGCAGUUUAACCGUACUACACUUCAAUAACGCUUUCCCCGCACUAUAAAAACCACGGUUACCAUUCGGACCCUUAGAGCUUGUUUAAAAAAUUGCUAGGCGUUAACCGGGCAUUCGGGGACUUAUCGAUAUUAGUUUUUAACAUUUUAAUAUUGAUAUAUACAUAUAAAUUAAAUAUCGGAAUAUAUGACAAUGGAAUUAAUUUGGUUGAGUGUCAUCUUUUUUUAUUUGGAAAUUGCACAAUCUAUACUCUGAGGAGUCGUUAUUUAGGUUCCCAAAAAAGCAACUGUUUGGCUGGUACUGUGGAUGUGGAAAUUGCGCAUGUAUGAAAAUAUAUUGUGUGAGACGGCUUCAUUAAAAUCUUAUUAGAUUAUUAUUGUUCUUCGCAUGUGGUUUUUGUUUUCUAUAUGUUUUUUAUUUAUUGAUUUAUGGGGAAACCAAUCAUCAUCAUCAUUUCCCUUCCAAUACGGAGAGCUUGGCAAUGCGAAAGAUUUGGAUGGCAAAUGUUUGGUAUAAAUUUUUCGACCCGUUAAUAUUAUAAUCUUGAUAUUAUUUUUGUUAACGUCAUUAAUCUUUUGCAGACGUAUGUGGAGCCUAUCAUUUUCCCUGACGUGGAGAUGAACCCGAAAGAAGAUUUAACCUGGUCUGACGAUGAGGAAGAUGUGAUGGGUUGAUAAUAUCGUCAUGUUAGUUGGUAAAGGGAUUACUUUUCAGCUCCCUCCAUUCUGAUUUGCCAACUCCUACAAAUGCUAAGGUUAGUUAACUGAUAUUUAUUUUAUAAUCGUUGUGUUUAGUAGUUUAGCAACUAAGUAUUAUAUGUGAGUAGCUAUAUUUUUUCUUUAUUUUUGUAGCUUUUUUGCCUCUGUUUCAGAGUUUUCAAUUAUCUCCAAGAUGUUGCAGGUAAACAAAUCUGUUGAGGUCCUUGAUCAUCGAGAUGAAGAACCGGUUUAUUUAUUUACACUCCAUUUUUGUUUAACUUUACUGUACAUUUUUGUUAACCCCCUCCAUAUUUUAUUAGCCGGUAAGAUUGUUAUCAUUCAUUUUCUUUUUAAUUAUUUUAUUCUGUCUUGCAGACCAAAAUCAAUCCUUCAAAAUUAACCACUACAGUCGAGGAAGAAAAGGAUUCUAAGGAGGUUAGAUAAUUCUUCCUUGUUUUUAACUUUCAUUUGGUUAAAUCCUUAACCGGUGAUAUAUUGCAUGUUUCAAUUUUAGGAUUUUACCACUCCACCCCUGUCAACCCAGUCUCGCUCUAACGUGAAGGUUAUCUUCUAACUAUGAUGUUAUCGCUUAUUGUUUAUAUUCAUCUUCCACGUUUGUAGGAUGUGGUGUGCCCUGCAAGUGUGUAUGCGGAUUAGCUGUUAAAAAAAAUAUUUCCAAGACGCAAGAAAAUUCGGGCUGCCCCUUCUUCCGCUGUGUAAGCAAAAGAGACGUGAGUUAUUUCCUCUCUAAAAACGAUGUUAUUAGCUUUUCUGGUAGCUACACGUUUUGCUAGUUAACCUAUCAUUCUUUUUGUAGGGACAUUUGUUUAAGUGGGUUGAGGAUGUUGUAUAUGAAGAAGUGGAAGAUGCAUUGGUUAGACUUGUAUCGAUUUAAAAUGAGGUAAAUGAUUAAAAGCGCAGGUCAUCCAGUUUUGUGUUGCUAUAAAAGAGUUGAAGGCAGAUUCAGUGUCCGACCAGUUGGUGAUGCUUAUGUUGAAAGUGGGCUUGCUUUUCAGAUUUGUCUUCUCUCUUUUUGUAGCUUUUGUUAUCGCAACACUUCUUAAAAUAGUCGAUAUUAAGUUCAUUAGUAGUUUUUAAUGUCUAUCUUUGUAAUGUUUCAUAGUUUCUAUAAUUCCCUAUGUUUAAGAUAUUAUAUUUGUUAGUCGUUAACCAUGUAAUAUAUACCUUGUAUCAAUCUUCUGUCUAUAUAAUAUUUUAUAACUUCUCAUUUAUUUCUUUAUUUUUGUACCAUUUGCACAUUCUUUAGGCGAUAUUUAUAACCAUUUUAAAACUUAUCUUUUAUUUUAAUUUUUUGGUAGCAUUUUCACAUUUAUUAAGCGAUAAUCUAAUUCUUAGCCAUCCAGCUGUGGUCCUAUCUUCUUAUUUUAGGACGCUAGUUAUCUUUUUUCUUAGUAUUGCAAAUUUUAAGAAGAGGGUCUAUAUCUUGGUACAUAUUUUGUUACAGAAUAUCAUUCAACAUAAACAUAUAUUUAACAUUCAGAAGGAAGGUUUGUUGGGAUCGUCCCUGAUUGCAGAUAAUACACAUUUUUUGGAUCAGUAAUUGUACGUAUAUACAUUGAAAAUUUUCUGAUCUCCGAAUUCUUGUUAUUUAUAAAACAUGACUUCUCGCGAGUCUUCUAAGCACGGAACCAUCCGUUCAAACCCUCCCAUAGUCCAAAAAAACAGUCCUCUCCUUCCAUCUUCAUCCGCAAAAAAAAAAUUUUCCUCGUCGCUUACUUGCCUCCAUGUACCACAUUAAUUUUUUGAUUAGCAGUCAUUUUUCUUUUUAAUCAGAUAACACCUACUUUAUCGACACUAGUUUCUUCAUACACCAUGGUAAAAGUUUUGUUAUCGGCUGCUUUUUCAAAAAAUGAUAAGGAGCUAUAUAUAUAGAUAGCAAACCAAAGAAAGUUGCCCUAACUACACACCUGAGACUUAAAUGCUCUAUGUUUCUAUCUUCUUUCAAUAUUUAUCGUUUGCAGUGGUUUAUAUGUUAGUUGUUUCAGUUCUUGUUGUUGCAGUAAUGUCGAUAUGGAGAUAAUAAAUAGGCAAACAUCUAUCUUCCAUAUCUGCACAAUCGAUUAUGUAUCAUAUGUAAUCAUUACUUUUUACAUUUUUUUAUUAGUUUGACCAGGGGGCGCAAUAUCUUCGAAGAUUACAGAGCAUUUAAUGCUCGUGAUCUUGCGGAAGGAGACUAGUGAUCCUCUGCUUGUAUAGGAACAAUUAUGUCAUAUUUAAUUUGCAAGAAAAUUUUCACCUAAAUAACGAAAUGAUAUGUAUAGAUCCUUAAUUAUUUUCUCCUGUAGGUAUAUAUAUUUCAUUCACUCUUUUUAGUUUAAUGAAAUAGUAAAUGACAAUAUUAUCCUCAUCUUAUUCUUUAGAUCUUAGCGACUGCAACCCUAAUUUUUGUCGUAUCGUUUUUCACAAUUCUUAUCAUUUUUUCUUACCCUUUAAUGAUUUAUACCCAAAUAUAAUAGAUCUACAACCUAAAGACCGAUUUAAAACUUGUAUUUCUUUUUAAAAAAUGAGUUUUUCUAAGAGUUUUCAAUUUUUUUUGGCGAUUUCAACAAAUCGAGGCGGUGGUGGUCUGAAGAGCGCUUAGUUGGACGAGUAAUCGGUUAGACGACCAAUUUUUAGAACAAGGGUCUUGACAAUCCACAAUGCAAGUGUUGAAUUAUUUAUUCAAUUGUUGAACCUUCACAUUGCACAUGUUGAAUAGUUUAAAAAAUCUUACGUGGAUUCAACUUGGUUGAAAGUAUUCAAUAUGUUAUAAAGAAAAAAUUUGGGCCCGCGCAUGCCACAUGUCAAUAAAUGAGUAAAGGAUGUGUUUCAAACUCGGAGAAAGGAGAGCGUAUUGUCCAAACCUUUUUCUUUUUACUUUUAUUUUUUUUUGCAAAAAGAAGAGAUUAUUGAGAUGCUCACACUUGCUAUAUUUUCAUUAGAUAUUAAGAUUUUGGAGAUUUUAUUUCUAUCUUAUUUAUUUACAAUCAAUUAUUACAUACCAAACAAUUUUUUUUUAAAAACUUAUAUUUAUAUGAAAAUUUAUAAAUUUUUAAACUCUAGAAAUAGAGACUUAGUUCAUUUUAUUUGGACACAUAAAAAAUAUUAUUUCUACCAUAAUUUUCUUAUUCUUCUCCCAUAAACUCUUGGUUAUAUCCUUUUUUUUUAUGGAUUCUAAUAAAAUCCCUAUGCAAAAUUAUACUAAUUUUUCCUUUCCCUAUCCUAAUUCCAACAAUAAUCCUACGCAAAAUUCGACUAAUUACGUUUUUCCUUAUCAAAAUCCCAACAAUUAUCAAUUUCAAAAUCUAUCUUUCAACCAACCUCAAAAUUUCCCAAAUUAUGAUUUUCUACCAAAUUUUUCUAUGCUCUCAUCUGUUCCAAACUAUAAUUCAUAUUAUAGAUCGAUUCCAAAUUCAUCUCAACCACCUCUUUAUGAUUUGAGGUUGUGAUUUUCAUUGACAUCAAAAAGAAAAAAAAAAAAAAUAUCACAGAAAGGAGACAAUGAAUAUGAUUAAUAUUUAAUUGGUAAACUAUUAGAUUAGGCGGGGGUUUUCUCAAAAAUUGUCUCUUUUGUAGGACUGUUGUCACCAAUAUUUUCAGUAUCUUUUACUUUUAUUAAUUUUUAAUAAAAUUUAUGAUAAUAAAAAAAAUGAAAAUAAUCGUAAAUAAAAGAAAAAAAGAGAGUUGUGGGUUCUUUCUUUUUAGUUACCCACGCAUCGCUGUCGAAAGAUUAAUUAUGAAAUCAGAUGUUUGGUUGAGUAUAAUAGUAAUGCAUGUCAUUAGUUUAAAUUUAUAAUAUUAAACAAAAUUAUAAAUAAGAUAUUUGAACAAAACAAAAUUAAGUUAGUUUAAACGUUAAUUGGAAACCAAAUAAGAGAUCUGUUAGGAAAAAAGAAAAUAUAUACCAAAUAAGAGAUACAGGAAAUCAGAAAUUUUAAUAUUAUGUGUUUGAAUCUUCUCACCAAAAAAAAUUAUGUGUUUGAAUCUUCUCACCAAAAAAAAUUAUGUGUUUGAAUCUAAUUGAUUAAUGGACACGGUCUAGUAAAUUAUAAUUUUUUUGACCCGCGAAAUAUAGUGAAACAGAGUUUAUCUCUAUACAACAAGACAAAAAAGAAGUUCUAAGAUCAAACUCUGUUUGAUAUACAAAAAUUAUAUUGUAAAUGAAAAUGGAACUUUGAGAUUGAUCUACAACAAGUCUGCUACACUCAUCACAAACGUAAUGUGAUUAUACACAUCCACGUUGGCCGCAAAAACUAAGGAUCUUGUAUCAUCUGGAUCAACAGACAAAAUCAUAUUGCAAUAGUCAGCAGCAUCACGUGCGAGACUAAGGUCGUCAUCAGUCUCAUCAACAUCACCAUUGCCCAUUGACCGCUGUGCCUUCAUUAGCCCCUCGACAACAGAAUCUUUAUAGUUCUCCAUACAACUCUUGAAACAUGGCUUCUUAGGAGAACCAAUGAGAAACUGUGUGUGCUCUGCCUUCUCCAUGGCUAGAGAAAGAGCCGCCUUAGCCAACUCUAAUACAGUCGAUGCGGAUUUCGUGCGAUGAUCUAACGUUAGGGAUUUGAUACAUUCUUCUUCUAGGGACGAGAAUGACGCGGUGCCUUUACAAGCCUUUGAUAUCAGUAAUGAUGGAUAUGGACAUGUCUUUGGUUUGGUUGAUAAAUGGGUAGCAAUGUUGGAUUUUGCAUUGGUAUAUGGCCACCGCGAGAGGAGAAGGAAGGUUAGGAUAUGGAUUGAUAGGUAUGCAUGAGAAGCAUAUAAACAAACCAUCGUUUUAUAUGUUCAACAAAGCUUGUUCUUUGACUAUAGGUUUAAAUGAAAUAGUAGAUUGAAGUUUGUACAUAUAUUAACUUUUGUUGUGUCAAUGGUUUAAAUUGUCCAUUGUUUAGUUCCACAAGUUUUAAACAUGAUAUGUUAUUUAUAGGUUUGGAAUGAACGAUAGAGGAAAAAUAAACUUGUCAACGCUAAUAAUAAAAGAGUGUAUCGAAAAAGAGAGAAAAAAACAAAAAUUCAUUGUGAUUCUUUUGUUAUUUUGUUUUUCAAUGAUUCAAUUCAAUGUCUUAAUUUCUCUCCUAACAUAAAAGUUAGUUAUGGGCAUUCGGUUAUCCAGUUUCGGUUCGUUUCCAUUCCGUUAUCGUUCUUUCGGUUCUAGAGUUUAGUAUCCAUUCAGUUAUUUUGAUAUUUCGGUUCGUUUCAGUUCUUACAGUUCUAAAAUUUAAUAUACAUUCGGUUAUUUUGCUUUGAGUAUUUUUGGAUAUUUCUGUUAUUUUUAUAUUUUUGAGUAUUUUUACUAUUUAUAUAUACUUUUUAGUAUUUUUAAUUAUUUAGUCUAGAAAUGACUAGUAUUUUUGAAAAUAUAAUUAUAUUUCGGAUACUUUUGGUUAUCCAAAAUAUUUCAGUUUGUAUCCACUCGAUUUCGGUUCUUUUGGUUAUAGAAUUUUAAUAUCCGUUAGGUUAUUUUCAAAUUUUCGGUUUUGCUCCGUUUUUUUACAUCGGUUGCGGUUCGGUACAUUAGGUUCGUUUUAUAUGCCCAAGCCUAAUAAAAAUCAUGUUCAUUUUGGUAUUUAUAGCUUUAGUAGACACAUGUUUAGUAAAACAAAUUCUCAAACAAGAAGAUUUAUGGAAUACCUUGUAAGACUACUUAGACUAGUUACAAUGGUUUGGUGGUGAAAAAAACAUUUCCACUACGAUGGUGUGCUGUAAUCAAAGCUAGGUGAUGUGGCAAAUUUAGUAUUGAUAAAUAUCAAUACCCGUGAAAGUAGAACAGAGAAGAUAAGUGUGACAAGUGUUAUAUUUUGAUUGGUUGCUUUGAUUUUUAUUUUUUUUGUUUCAUCUCAACUAUAUAACUUCAAUUAUUUUAUAAUAUUUGUACAUAAAAAUAUCAAAAUUUAUAUCAAAAUUUCUAAUUUUACAUUCUCUAUAAAUAGAGACUAUUUUCAUUUGAUUUGGAUACAGAAAAAAAAACUAUUUUUAGACCCAAAAAAGGUAUAAUCGCCAAAAAAAAAACUUUUGUUUUACCUUUAAAUAUCUUUUUAUCUAAGUGGAUCCAAACAAUAACCCUUUCAACACCCAAAACUCUUCUAAUUACCCUUUUAACUAUGCAAAUCCCAACAAUUAUCAGUUUCAAAAUCAAUCUCCUAACCAACCCCAACAAUUAUCAGUUUCAAAAUCAAUCUCCUAACCAACCCCAACAUAUAUCAAAUUAUGGUUAUCCACUAAAUUUCUUCAUGCCGUAAGCUGUUCCAAACUAUCGUCCAUUUCAUGGAUCGAUGAUGUCUUAUCCAUCUUAAACACCUCCUUAUUUUCCUACUCCAACAGGUAAUGAAACUGAUUCGAAUCUUGGAGCAACUGAUUUUCCCGAGUUUUCUACCCAAAUGGCUCUUGGUGGUAUUAGGGUAUUCAUGAAGCCAUUCCAGAUGCAAAGGAUUCAACUCCUUCUCGUCGGAGAAGUCCCAAAUGGACCACUGAUCAAAAUUUGGUUCUCCUGAGUGGGUGGAUUAAAUUUGGAAGAGACAGUAUUAUUGGCAAAAACUAAAAAUGUGAGUCAACUGGGGUAAAAUUGCUGAAUAUUGUAAUGAACAUUGCUCAUUUGAUCCUCCCCGUGAUGGAGAAGCAUUCAGAAAUCACUAUAAUUAUGUGAACAAAAGCGUGAACAAAUGGGCUGGCGCUUAUGAUAACGCUAAAUGUAUGCAACAAAGCGGGUGGUUGGAGGAUGAUGUAUUGGUAAAAGCGCAUGAAUUAUAUUCAAGUGCUGGUAAAAGAAGUUUCAAAUAGGAGGAAAUACUUAUUCUGGAAGCAGUGGAUCUAAAAGAGCCCACGAGAGUGAUGCUAGUGACUCAAACUCUGUAGGAUCUAGUGCUCGUCCAAUGGAAAGAGAUGCUGCUAAGAAAAAGCUAAAAAAAAAGGUAAAGGCGCAGCGUUGAAAGUGGUCAACGAAGAGUCGAACGAAUUUUAACAAUUCAAGGCACAAGAGUUGGAUAGGUUGGAGAAAAUAACUAUGAUGCACAGUGAAACAAACCAAUUGAUUAAGGAAAAGACUCAUGCUAAAAAGAUGAAGAUGUUUAUAGAGCUAACUGAAAAAGAGAAUCUCGAUGACAAGAGCAAAAAGCUAUUGCAACAAUUGAGCCACGAUCUAUUUGGAAAUUAAUUAUUGUCAAGUGGUUAUCUGUAUUUUGUCACUUCAUGCUUUAACGUGUGUUUGUCACUUUCUCCUUUAAUAAUUUGUAUUGUCAUGUUAUGCUUUAAUAAUGUGUGUUUGUCACUUUCUCCGUAAUUUGUAUUGUCUUCUAUGCUUUUUUUUUUUGUGCGAAAUAUUGUCUUAUAUGCUUUAUUAAUAUUAUCCAUGAUUUUAAAUAGAGAAUCUUAUCUUAUCCAUGACUUUUGGUUUGAAGCACUCAAUUCGAAUCCAAGGCACCAACAAUUUAAUUCGUUGUUUCCAUUUUUUUUAUAAAUUAGAACUCAUUCUUCCAUUGAUGUACAAACCAUAAAUCUUACCUUACUAAAAAUCUCAAUGGAUCCAUCAGAAUAUCCUUUUGACAUCAAAGCUUACAAGAGGCAGUCUGAAAUUGAAGAGAUGUAUAUCAUCAAUCGGUUUAGGGAGCGUCGAAACAAAAUAGGGGAAGACUAUCCACCUCGUAGCAAGAGAAAAUACUUUAAAAGAGACCAUGCAUCAGCAAAAUUAAAGAAUAUUGACGACUACUUUGCCAAUGAACCUAUAUAUGACGAUGCAAUGUUUCGUCGGUGAUUCCGGAUGAGAAAACAUAUUUUCUUUCGGAUCGUUGAAGACUUAUCAAACAGCGACAACUAUUUCACCCAACGAUAUGACGCAGCCAAGAAAGAAGGUAUAUCUCCAUUACCAAAAUAUACUACGACCAUGCGAAUGUUUGCAUAUGGUGUGGCAGCUGACGCGGUGGAUGAAUACAGUAAAAUUGGAGGUACUACUACUUUAGAGUGCUUGCGAAGAUUCUGUAAAGGAAUCAUAAAGCUGUAUGAGACAGAGUAUCUCAGAGCCCCAACUCAAGAUGACCUCCAAAGAAUUUUACGUGUUAGUGAGAUGCGAGGGUUUCCCGGGAUUAUUGGGAGUAUUAAUUGCAUGCAGUGGGAAUGGAAAACUUGUCCUACAGUGUGGGAAGGUCAAUUUACUCGAGGAGAUAAGGGAACCACCACUGUUAUUUCUGAAGCAGUUGCAUCUCAUGAUCUAUGGAUCUGGCAUGUUUUUUUGGAUGUCCGGGCACACUAAACGAUAUAAAUAUCCGUUCACCGGUGUUCGAUGAUGUUGAACAAGGAAAUACUACAAGAGUGAAUUUUUUUGUGAGCCAACAUCCGUAUAAUAUCGCUUACUAUCUAGCUGAUGGUAUUUAUCCUUCUUAUCCUACUUUCGUCAAAUCGAUUAGGCUACCUCAAAGUGAACCAGACAAGUUAUUUGUACAACGUCAAGAGGCGUGUCAUAAGGACAUCGAACGUGCAUUUGGAGUGCUGCAAGCUCGAUUUAAAAUCAUUCGUAAACCAGCUGGCCUGUGGGACAUAUUCGAGUUGGCUAUCAUCAUGAGAUCGUGUAUCAUAUUGCAUAAUAUGAUUGUUGAGGAUGAACGAGAGACAUAUGCUCAACACUGGACGGAUUAUGAUCAAUUUGAGGCAAGUGGGUCGAGUACACAACAACCAUUCUCGACCCAAGUGCUACUCCUAUUUGCAAAUCAUGUGCGUGAUAGAUCCAAAUUGCGUGAUUCAAAUGUACAUCACGAAUUGCAAGCAUAUCUAGUCAAACACAUAUGGGCACAAUUUAGAAUGUUCUUGUUGUCUGCUUAUUGUAUUUUUGUAUUUUAAAUUUGUGUUCAUUGUAUGUGUUUUAGUAAUAAUAAUUUUUUCUUCUCGUUUUAAUUAUUUGUAAAAGUUUUUAAAAAUAUUAUAUAAAAUAAAAACAAAUAUAAACACAACAAUACUUUAUAAAACUAUUUAAUGUUUAAUUCUUUUAAAUUUAAUUUGAUAUUAACGAUGGUUAAUAAUAUGUAAUCACAAAAAACAUAAACAUAAAUAAAAUGAAAAAUAUGGAAUAAAAAUGGUGGGGUAAGAUGUUGUAAUUUUACUAAACAAAAACUAUUGUAAAGAUAAAAAUUGGGUAGGUGUUGAAUAAUGAUGUGGAAGAAAGAGAAGAUGAUGUGGAGUGUUAAAAGUAAAAAAGUGGGUGUUGUAAAUGAGUAACCAUUGUGGAUAGUCUAAGGAUAAAAAUUGUAUAGGUGUUGAAUAAUGAUGUGGAAGAAAGAGGAGAUGAUGUGGAGUGUUAAAAGUAAAAAAGUGGGUGUUGUAAAUUAGUAACCAUUGUGGAUAGUCUUACAAUGGACACGUUGAAAAAAAUAUUUGAAUAUGGUGCAAUGGUUGUUUUAAUAAAUGUUGUAGAGGAUGUGGCAAAUUUGGUGAGUAGGGAAAAAUAUCGUUUAAUAUUCCAACUUUCAAAUUAUGGCCAUUUUAUACCUCAACUUUAUAUGUGACCAUUUUAAAUAUGAAGAUAUCGUUGACCAACCGUUUAAACCAUAAACAUUAGUUGACCAGGCUAAAAAAACUAACCGUUAUCACUCGUUAACAGAUUAUCUAACGUCCGUUAACAUCUCCAUUAGCUACCCCUAAACGACGUCGUUUUCAUAUUUUAAAAAUAAAUAACGAACGUAGGAUUCAAACUUGUAACCUAGAGAAAAACUAGAGACUUACUUAACACCCUCACCAACAGUAUUUUAUUGGUGAACUUUGAGAAACAUAUAUUUAUUAAAGUUUUCUCCUUCAACUUUAACCUACAAAACAAAACCAUCUCCAUAGCCGCCGCCUCCAAAUCCGUGUUCUCUCUCCAUUGAUUUUUUUAAUCUUAAUCAUAUAUUGUUUUUUGUUGAUUGAAAAAAAUUUGUAUUUGCUAAUUCAAUUCAUCUGGAACCUAUUUCUAUGAACACCAUUGAUGGAUUAGUCAAUUGAUAUGAAAUCAGUUACACAAACAGCACUAGUUCUUCGUCGUCUCACAUGCACCUUCGUUGUCUCACGUACACCUUGUGUAUAUGAUCUGUGAUUGCUCUUAAGCGGAUCUGAUGUAUUUAACGGCAUAAUAUAUAAUUAUGUGUUUCCGAAUAAUAAUUAUUAAACACUUUAUCUUAGUUGGUGUGGACAAGCAUAGGGAGCACUCGAAAGUUACGGGUUCGAAUCUUGAGUAAGUUAUUUCUUUUUAAAAUAUAAAAAUGACGUCGUUUAAGGGUAGCUAAUAGAUGUUAACGGACGUUAGAUAAUCUGUUAACGACUGAUAACAGAUAGUUUAUUUGGCCUGGUUAACGAAUGUUUAUGGUUUAAACGGUUGGUUAACGAUAUCUUCAUGUUUAAAAUGGCCACAUAUAAAAUUGUGGUAUAAAAUGGCCAUAAUUUGAAAGUUGGAGUAUUAAACGACAUUUUUCCUGUUGUAAUUUGUCAACACCGUGAAUUUUACUGGGUGGGGUUAUCUUUGUCUUGUGUUGUGUUUUCAUUGGUCACUAAAAUUUGACUUUUUCGUCCAAUAAUUUUUGAACUCAAUUAAAUUAUAAUAAACUUUUUUUUUUGUCAUCUGAUAAUUUAUUAAAGAAAAAAAUAAUAAAGUACAUAGUUAGAUCCAAAAGCCAAGUAGAACAGAAAGAGAAACAAAAUAAAAGAGAAACAACGAGAGAUACAAAAUGAAAUUUAAACUUUACUCUCCUCAAACACUUGAUUGUGAAACCAUGAAGGCUCUCCAAGUGCUAUGUAAGACUGAAACCUUCUUUCUUGAAUCACACUUCGAGAAAUGGAUCGCGCGAUCAGAUUUGCGUUUGUGGCAAUAUGACGGAAUGUACAAGAUUCAAAUGCACCAGCAAUCUCAUGGAUUUGUGCUAACCAAUUCCUGUAGAAAGGCCAUUUGGACGGCUGCAAAACGGCGUUAACUGCGGCUGGAUAUUCCAACUCUAUUAUCACCUUGGAGACGUGAAUAUCUUGAAAUGCUUUCAACGACCGUAGAAUGCAGCACAGCUCAGCCCCUGUUCGAUCUUGAAUUGGCGUAAACGCAUCUCGUGCAUGGUGUUUAGCUUGCCCUAUAUCUCUUACAAUUCAAGCUCCUCCACACAUCGAUUGUUUAUUUAUCCAAAAAGAAUUCAAAAUGCAUUUAAGAAUACCUUCUUGGGGUUUCCUCCAUUUGUUUCCAUCCAAAUUGGAGGUGAUUGCCGAGAGAAUACUGUUGAAGGCUACGUGUUCACCAUUUUCCAAUGCAUUGUGUCUUCAUACGCUUUUUGAACUAAAACAUGAAAAUUCCAUACCUUUACUUUGAAAACGGUAUGAUUACGAUUCUUCCAAAUUGCCCAUAGAACCCAUGGAAUUGAUAGUCGAGUUUGCUUUGGUAUGUGCUUGUCUUCGAUAACAUUCAAUAGAUGAGAGAAGUUUGCUAGUAAGGUUGUUGAAGAAAAACCUUGAUCCGAAGCUUGCACAAAAUGCUGAGAUUAAUAUGCUUAAAAGGAGAAUAUGGAAUCUAAAAUCUGAGCCACAAAUCAAGCUUUUCUGUUGGCGUGCUCUUUCUGGUGCUUUGGCUGUGGCAGAACGUUUAAGCUCACAGGGAAUACAACAUGACACAAAGUGCCAAAUUUGUGGUAUAGCUACAAAAACAAUAUGUCAUACUCUAUUCUCUUGUGACGUAUAGAAUAAGAAAAUGAUGAAUUUUGGUGUAAAUUAUUUAUGUAUCUAAUAGUAGUUAUUAAAAAAACCAUUGUAGUAUAUGAAAGUAAACUGAAUGUUGAAUGAUGAUGUGUAAGAGAGAGAAGAUGAUGUGUAGGUUGUUGUAAUUUUAAACCAAUGUAAAUAGUCUAAUAAAAAAAUAUUUGGGUUCACCCCACUCUUGUUCACCCUCUCUUAAUAAGCCAAUCAAAAUACAACAAAAUGCCAUGUCGUUUAAUAUUUAACAAUUAAAAUAUUUGGGUUCACCUCUAGGGUGGUUAAAGUUUAGAUUUUAUAAAUAAUUGAAAAUAUAUUUUGGUUGAGUUUAUAAAAUAGUGGUUAGAGUUUAAAUUUUAUAAAUAAACAAAAUUAUAUUUCGGUUUGGAUUGAUAAAAUAGUGGUUAGGUUUAGAUUUUGUAAUUAAACGAAAUUAUAUUUCGGUUUGGGUUGAUAAAAUAGUGAUUAGGUGUUAGAUUUUGUGAUUAAACUAAAUUAUAUUUUGGUUUUGGUUGAUAAAAUAGUGGUUAAAGUUUAGAUUUUGUGAUUAAACGAAAUUAUAUUUUAGUUUGGGCUGAUAAAAUAGUGGCUAGACUUUAGAUUUUGUAAUUUAAUUAAUUUAUUUUUUCAAUAUAUGAUAUGUCAAAUUCUAAUUGGUCAUUAAAAAAUGGUGAACCCAAGAAUUGUUCUUGUAAUAAUUAAACUUCUUAGAACAACAAAAAUUUACAAUAAAUUUAUAAAAGGAACAAUUAAAAAAAAAAAAAGGAGCAAAAAGCAUGAUAAAAGCUGAGAGAGGAAACUUAAAAAGCACACUUGUUUCCAAAACUAAAUAGGGUCAGUCCCAAAAUUGGAUUUGUAUAGUAACAAAUGAAUAACGGAAAAGAGAGUUUCAAGAUCUACGAACAACAGCAGUAGCGAAAUAAGGAUGAUGGGUGAACUCAAACGAUACCUUAAGCGAACGGUCUUGACAGAAAAGGUUCACAGCAACAAUAUUGCGUUCCGCGACUUUCUCUAAUCCCGUGACUUCAGCCAGCUUAUCAGGAUCGUUGGCGUAACCGACCUUUAUGUCCUUAGCGAUCUUUUGAGCAUCGUGAAAGUACUCAUACAUAGGAAGAUACUGCAGCAAAAGUAAAUAGAUACAACUUUACUUGCAUGUUCAAAACUCUUUCUAAUCGAACAUAGUAGAUUUAUACGUGUACACAUUCAUCACUAAAACAUUGUAAACAUUACCUAUGUUAUUAUUUGCUCAAUGAAGAUUGGGAUCUCAAUUUUCAUGUGUUUAUAUUUAUUAAUCAAGUUAUUGCUUUUAAGCAAAUAGUUAACUAAUAAAUCCUACAUAGAUAUAUUUUAAAUAAACUGUGAAUCCUAAAUUUUUCCGUAUUUUCCGAAUUACCUGAACCGAACUCAAGAUUUUGCGAUUUAUGGUAUUAAAGCAGAUAGUGAUUGUAGGUACCCGGACUACCUUUACAGUACUCGAUUCCCUAUCACCCAACCAAUUUUUUUAAGUGUAUGCUUCGGGUAGUAGAUUUAGAUAUACCUGAAAUAACCAUAUCCAACCCUUACCAGCUAUUACCUGACUCUAUACCCUAAAUGCACAUGCCUACUUCUACAAUUCAUUUGACCAAGUAAACAGGAUUAAGCACAAAAACAAAGUUGAAUAAAGCACACUUACGUCGAGACGAGCAUGGGAUGUGGAUUUUGAGAACGAUUCAUAUGCGUCAUAUUCUGGAAGGGAUGCCUUCUGAAGGAGUUCAAAAUGCUGUAUAAAUUUCUGCAUGUCAAGGAAAAUGGGUAGUUGAAGUCAUACACAGGAAGGGAUAAAACCACUCACCCAUUACUAAGGCUGAGGAUUUUUAUCUUACACAUUAAUUCAAUAACUAUGCAACAGAUAAAGAGACUUAUGCUUACCUCAUUUUCGGUAUUAAAAGGUCCUUGACUCUUUAAAGACAUUCCUUCAUUUCUCAAAGCUGCAAUCAUCUACGGGUAAAUACACAAGGUUUGGUCAGGUUUAGAGUACUUGAUAUCAGCAAUAGAAGGAGCUGGAAACCAAGAGAUUGAAGACAAAAUUACCACUGUGAGGCCUUGUGCAAGACAGGUCUGACAUUUGAGAAACAAUACCCAUAGACUAAUCCGAUCUUCCCGAGCCAUGUCCCUAGAAUACUCCUUAUUCCUCUUUGCUUUUCUUUCCUCUGAUCCAGAUGAAGGUAAAUGCAUUAUAAAAAGCUACAAAUACACACUAUGCAGUUAUGCCAAACCAAUUACUGUACAGAUGGUUCAUCUCCGAAACACUAGGACACAAAAUAAAAACAAAUGGAUAUAUGAAUGCUUACCAGUGUUCACAACGAUUAAGACCCUGAAACGUGCUCUUUCGGCAAGCUUCCAGAGUAUAAUAUACAUGUACCAGUAUACCAUGCAAUAUUCACUUGGCGAGUAGAGGUCUAGGUCAAAUCCCAGCAUGAGAAAGCGAAUUGCCACCCAAUUAAUUUGCUCUUCUAAUCCACCAUAUAUAUGGUUUAAAAUGAGUAGAGACUUAUCCUGAAAGGUACAUAAAUGCAAGUUAACACAAAAUUCAAUAUCUGCUUAUCAAUAGAGCCAAAAUUUUCCGAAAGAGAAAACAGAAGUUGUAGGAAUUUUGACUACUGGUUUGUUCAUGCUAACAAUGAAUAGACAGCCGUCAACUAGAUUCAGAUAGAGGUUUGAUUAAAUGGACCCAUAGUGAUGGUAGUAAACCUACCCCAUUUUUCGAACUGCGUGAUGUAUCUUGCUGCAUCAUUUGACCAACAGCAAUCCCCAUCUGCCAAAUACAGGAAAAUGUAUGAAUGAGAUCUUGACACAAAAACCCAAAUCAAUAUGCAAACAAUUUUAGGGUAAGCGAGCUUACAUAUAGUUAAGUAAAGAAUAAUACAGUUCCAACAAAGGCACAAAUGGUAUAACCUGCACAUGGAAUACGCUCCAGUCAUUUAAGAUUUUCCCAAGCUUACGCCUCUGCCAUGGGGUAUUAGCGCAUAGUAUUUUAAGUAGAUUAACCAUCAACUGCACCACAAAAUGAGAAUAGAGAUCAAACAGAGAUUUCUAAGAAAGGAGCCAGUUGAAUAAUUAUCUAACUUUUUCAGGAUCCAGAGGCUACCAAAACCACAAAACAUAGACAAGGCAUUCUCAUCAAAGUCCCCAUUAAAACAAAUAAUUUUUUGUUGUUUCAAUCUUCUUGAUGAUUGCAAAUUAGUUACAUCCACACAUGCUGAAAUUCUCUGAGAUUGGGGCUUAUACGCCAGACACCGAAUAUUGAACAAAACCAAUGAAAGAUUAUUCUUUUCAAGGUUUUACCAAGUUCCAAACUCUUUUCAAGGAAGAAUAAAGAGCUACCUCAUACACGUUUGUAGAAAAAAAUGUACCCAACGUAUUCUUUUAAUAUACUGUGUUUACCUGAUUAAGUUGAAGAAUGUACUCAUUCGUAUGGAGGCCAUGGUUCUUGGAGACAUCUAAUGCAAGAGAUCUGGCGCAAAUUGUCAAAAAGGUAUCACGGCCGUAAAGUUUCCCAUCUUGCACAAGGAGAAGCUGUAGAACAAGAUUAUUUAUUGAGUAUAAAAGGUAAAAGCAUUUUGCUAGCUUAAUACAUAAUUUAUUCACAAAUAUUGCUAAUAUCAUAACAAAAAUGGACAACCAUAUCAAUGCUUAACAGAAAUUUACAAUCAGAAUCAACCUCAACUACAAAUAUUGGAUCUAUAUUCUUAUAAGUCUUCAUAAGAAAGAAAAAUGAGAGUGUCAGCCACUACAUAUUCCAGUGUCAUCAUAAAUAAUAUCUAGAUAACAAUAAUAGUAAAGAGUCAACAAGAAGAAUAAGCAGAGCAUUCAACAGGCCUGUUGGCGAAAUGGGGCUUGAGGUGGUUCACGAGAGUUGGAUAUUCUCUAGUCCAUUGGUUCUAAGUUUAUGCAACUGUUCUUACAGAAAUAAAGGAGAUUUCUACUAUAGUCAUAUGGCUGAAUCACUCAACUCUAAGUGACAAUGAAUUGAAAAUGAGUGCUAAUGAACACAAAACUGCAAAGCAAGGAAGCGGGUAAAAGAAGAAGCCAUAUUAUCCACUAUACAAACACACCCUAGUGGAUGUAUGCGAACAUCAGUGCAACUACAGCCAAAAUAGUUACUCAAAACAAGAAAACAAAAUGAUAAAUGGGUAUCUGAAAGCACAGAGCUGCAUGAUAUUGAUGCGUUAAGUUAAAGUAACGCACCUGAAGAUGAGCCCUAGCAACCAAAUCAGGACGAGAUUUUUGAAACUGAAUCACAAACUCCAAGACGGCCUCUAAAUCUGGUUCCAAUGAAAAUGCACAGAUCUUAUCCAGAUUGUGAAGAAGUUUCACAUAAUAGUCAAUAGCCUGGAGAAUCAAAAAUUGAAAAAAGUUACUAAAAAGUUAUAUACACACAAACUAAAUUACGUAUACAGAGAAUUUAGAAGUCCCAACCUUUUUCCAAGAAAGAAGUUUAAUGGCACGUGGCGGCGUUGGAGCUGAUAAUCUUUUGUUUAAAGUAGGAUCAAAUCCAAUGGGGGACCGACCAGAAGCAGUUGUACUUUCUUCUAUCUCGUUUACGCCAUUCUCGAAAAUAUCUAAUCUUAGAAAUUCUGCUGAAUCCAGAACAGAAUCUAGCUCUGAUAUGCAAUAGCCUAUAUGUUUCCUUGCCAAUUCGAGGCCACGUCCUUGUGGUCGUCUCAUACAAUUAAGAGCAUGUAGAAAAUGCUGAAAGUUAUUGAGGAUAUGUUAAAACAACUAGCAGUGCAAAAGUAUAUAACAGCUACUAUUUUUUUUUUUAAAAUGGCUUACGAAACAAAAUAAUAAUAACAUCAUGAAUCACAUGUCUGGCGAGAAUUUUUAACCAAAAAUAAGGGUAAACAGGUAAUAAAAGCUGCCAUAUACUCAAAAUUUAGUCUCUGCUAAGCUUGUUCAUUCUUGUAAGUUGCAUAACAUGGAAAAUUUAACACAAUAAAACAUAUAUUAACUUUGUCUACCACUCCCCAUUGUGAGGUUAGGUUGAAGAAAAGCAACUCAUCAUACUCUUGUUACGUGUAGUUUAUCAAAGAAAGAAUAAAUAAAGCAUGAGACCUUACGGAACACUGGAUAAAAGACCAAAUGCAAAUUUUAAGUACUAAUUGUAGUUUUUCUUUUUCAAAGCAAGCAAUAAAAAAUUCUAUUCAUCGAUGGCCACCAGAAUACUAAUAAAAGGAACAGACUUGGGACUAUAUUAUACACUAGUUAACAUGACUUAAGUUGGGAAAACCUGUAAUUAACAACAUUUAUCAAAGAAAGAAUAAAUAAAGCAUGAGACCUUACGGAAACGUAUCCGGCAUAACAGAGAUUUGCAAAAACUCUCUUCCAGAUGGGGAUUACUUUGUAGAGGUUCCAAUUCUGCAUCUUUAACAAACAAAAGGAAAGAAAGUUAUUGUUCUCAGUUCGUGCUGCUGUGCACCAUUGUUACAAAUAAACAAUAGACCAUAUCACUCAAAGAGAUGGUAAAUUUUUAAAAAGAAAAAAUCAAUUGUAAUAAUCAGCGGACUUCACAUAUAAAUCAUUACUCAAUAGAAGACUCAAAGUUAUCGUAUAUAGGCCAGAGAGGCUAAUUUCAAGUUGGUAUAUGCUUAGAGAGCACUUGCAAAAUAUCUAAUUCCAAUGCAUUAUACUGUCUCCAAAUCACAAAUCACCAUUAAAUGUGUAAACAACAUAUCAUAAGAAAAGAAGCAACAGAAGACUCUUCGAUCCCCUCAUAUGAAUACGCUCUUCAUAUUUCAAUUCUGCAAGUGUGUGUAUGUAAAAUAAAAAAGGAAGAUAUGCAAAGCAAAAAAAGUACCUUCCAACAUUCUCCUUCUUGUGGCCUUACAAGCACGCAGCUGACGACAGAUAGUUUCUUCAACCGCAUUCAAGAGUAACAAGCCCUUGGCAUCUUCUUCUCCACUAAAAGGAAGACCAUAUGUCAUCGUAAAAAGAUCCUCUUCCUGUUAAUGAGCAGGUAUCAGGUGAAUCAUUCAGAGUAAACUAUCCAUGAAGCAGGGGCAUCUGUCUAGUUAAGAGAAACUUCUAUCCAAAAUAUCACAACAAAUCUUCUCAAGUAUUUUAUCUUCAUUUAGCUGCAUAAUGGUGGAAAUUUCUACAGAAAUAAGUUAUACGCUCUGCUAAUCAUCUCAAGAUUAAAUAACAACUGCUUAGGCUAGAUGAGAACGGAUGCCAAGACUUCAUUAGAAGAGUAAAGUCAAGUGAAUCCAGUUUUCGUCUCUGAUGUCAUAAGCUUAAGGUUAAUGACAACUAUGAAAUGUCAAAAUGGGUUAGCAACUGUUUUUCUUUACGCCAUAAAAGAAUGUUGGACAUAGCAAAAGAUUUUAGGAGCAAACAUUGAACACAAACUAAACCUUUAAUGAAAAGCCAAAAAACAUACAGAAACAUUUGCUUAGCCCCACAAGAAUAAAAGAGGACCAAAAAUUGUAAAAGUUAAUUACUUCAUUUGUACGCGCAUCUGAAACAACAGAAACAACUGCCCUGCAAGUUGCUCGGAUGACCCUACAAUAAGAAUGUAAUAGAGCCUGUGAAGAUGUCCUCUCAGGCCUCAGAACAUAGAUGCAUGAAAACACAGUUUGGGCCAAUGAAUGACCCAUGUGCCAUGUUGCCUGCAAAAGAGUAGAGACACAAAAUGUGGAUAAAUCAACUCCAAGGCUGACAUGUUAGCUACAUACAUAUCUCUUUAUCACAAUUAUACCUUGCAAACUCACACAGUAUUAUAUGAGCACAUGUAAAGAAGAGAUUACCUCACACGCCAGGAGAUGGUCCAUAAUGUCAAUGAUGGAUUGCACAUUAACAGUACUAUCCGAACUUAUAGGGACGGGCGCAAAACCACUUUCGAUGGCUUCAUCUAUAGAAUAAAACGUAGACACCAUACCAGAAUCCAUCUUUGGGUCCAUUAUCUAGUACAAAGCAAGGACACCACACCAUGUUUGUUAUACACACUUAUAGCAACCUCACAAUCUAAGUUUACAGCUAAGAACAGUCCAAACAUAUUUUGUUACAAAAUAGAAACCUCUAAAGCAGACAUGGCAGCAAAAAGAUUGAAAUUAUCUCCAUUUAUGAGUUCACCUUCUUGAAGAUCUGCAAACAGAACGACUCAUGAAACUAAAACAAGUGGGGAAUACAAGCAAAAUAGGCAAUUGCGAUCAGUACCAGAGCAGGCGGCGGAGAGGAGAGGUGAUACAUCGGCCCAGACGGAGUUAUUAUCACCGGAAGGGAUAGAAGAAGAGGUUUUAGAGUCGUGAUGAAUCGGAGAAGACGAAUCUUCAUCUUCCCUAACUGAUUGCAUCGUUUGUUGUUGUUGUUGCUCAGGAAACUUGAAAAUCGCUUUAAUCUCUCGUAAUUGGUUUUUUUUGCUACUUAUGGUAUAAGUUUCGUCUUGCUCGAUGGAACACUUUGCCUGGGCUGUUUAGGGUAAUUUUCGGGUCGGAUCCUCAGCGGAUACCCAACCCCCAAUCACCCGAGCCUCCUGCCGUCUUUUUUUUAUAAAUCAACCUUUAAAACCAACAAAAAGAUUUUCAAAAUUUUAAAUCUAUAGUUUUAUGGGUGAAUUUGCGGUAUAAUCAAAAUCUAAUGUAAAAUAAAAAAUAUAAAAUCUUAUUGAAAAAUAUUAAGAAAGUAAUUAGAUUAGUGAAAAGAUAAAAUUGUAUAGUGAAAGACACGCACAAUAAAAAAAAAGAAGAGGUUUUGAAUGUUUUGUAGAUUUUGUAAGAGUUUUUGGUUUUUGUUUUUUAAAAACUUAUUUUUAUACCAAUUAAGAUUUUAAAAUUUUGGUUUCCCUACAAUUUAGUAAAUUUAUUUUAUUGUAGUUUUCCAUUCAUGAUUUUAGUUUUUUAGUUUUCCUAAAAUUUAGGAAAUCUAGUUUUUAUUCAAUCAACGUUAUUUUUCUCAAAAACCAAAAACCGAUUUUUUGGGGUUUUUAAAACAAAAAUAUAAUAACAAAAAUCUAAAACUAAAAUCUAAAAUCUAUAAACUAAAAUCUAAACUCAAAAACUGAAUCAAAAAUCAGCAUCCAUUCAGAGCUAGAGUAUAUGAUGAUAUAUGUAAAAAAGUAGAGAGAAUAAUAAAGAGGAAUUGCAAAACUAACACAUUUUUACUAAAAUAUUAAGAAUAUAACAUUAUAUAUGUAUCAGUUAACUAACUAACCUAAAUGGUAGAUUAAAUGAUCAUAGGUGGUGGUUUGGAUCCGGCGACGGCGGUGGCUCCGGCGGCGGCGGUGGCUCCGGCGACGGCAGUGGCUCCGGCGACGGCGGUGGCUCCGGCGACGGCGGUGGCUCCAGGGACAGCGAUGGCUCCGGUGACAGUUCUGGUGGUGGCUCCGGCGAUAGCGGUGGCUUCGGCGAUAAUUCCGACAAUAACAGUGUCUCCAGCGAUAGUUCCGGCGGUGGUUCCAGGGACGGUGGAGGCUCCGGUGACAAUGGGAACACCGACGAUGGGGUGGUUGCUCUGGUGAUGUCAUUCGUUCUCGUAACGGGGGUAGCUCCGACGGCGACGGUGGUGUUGAUGACGGUGGCUGUGGCGGCGGUAGUGGGUGUAGUGAUGAUUGUUGUGGUGGUGGUUAAUGGUGAUUAUUGUGAUGGCGAAAUUAUAAUAUAAUAUAUUAUACAGUUAUUAUAGUGUAAAUUUUUUCUAAUAGGCUAGUUUCUUAAUUUGUAAUUUUUUUUAAGUUAUACAUGCAAAUUCCCAAAAUACUAAUGACAUGGCUAAAUUAAUAUCACCCCAAAUAAUUUUGCUUGUUGAUUUAGUCUUAUAAAUUUUGCAAUAAUUUUAUAAGAACAUAGAUUUUUUUGAGUAUAACAUGAUUUAAAUUUUUAAAAUCUAAUACAAAUUAUUUAAAUUAGGGAACAAUGUUUGUCUAAACCACACAAAUAAAAUAGUAUAGAACAAAACGUAGAUAAUUCAAAAGGCCGAGUUAAACCGCUCUAAUAAAAAAAAUACUAUCCCUAUGAGAUACAAUAUUGGCAAUCCAAGUAACUAAGGUAAACUAUAGCGGUGAGCCGGUGACGUUGACGAUGGUAAUAGUGGUGGUGGCAACGAUGAUGGUAGUGGUGGCAGUGGCACUAAAAAUGACAUUGAUGGUGGUAAUAUUAAUUGUUAGUGGUGACAUGAUGAUGGUAGCGGCAAUGACGGUAGUGGCGGUGGGAUGGUAGUGUAGUAAUAAUUGUUACUUGUUAGUAAUGGUAAUUAUAAACUAGUUUUUUAUUUUAUUUUAUUUUAAUAUAAAAAUAUAUAUAGAAGAUGAGAUUACUAGCUAGAGAGAAAGGGAGAAAGAAAAAUCCACAUGUAUUGAUAAAUAAAUAACCAGAGCAAAAUACUAAUAAUUUACAAACUCCCAAAUAUUGUGUUAUAAAUAGGUUUAGUGUUUUCAAUGGGUUGCAAAUAAAAGAGUCAAAUAGGUAGAAGAGACCUUUGGGGAAACUAUAAAAUUUAGCAUUCGUGGUAGAUGAAGAAGGGAGAAUCUAAUGAAAGAAUCAGCAUGAAAUGCAACAGAGGAGGGGAAAAAAGAAGGUGUAUGUAGUGUAGAGGGCAAAGUUAUCAUUAAUACAAAAAAUACAUAAUAUAUCAACCUUUUUUUUGUUUGAUGUUAGUUUUUUAAUUUAUAAUUUUUUGUUGGUUAUUUAUGCAAAUUUCCCUAGUUUUAUUUAAUCACCAUCUUAUUAUAUAAAGUACCAUUUUGAAAGUUACUAACUCACAUAAUGGUGUCACGUGUCAAGUCUAAUAAUCAGAUAUUUACAUAUGUCAUUAAAGAUUUACCUUUUUAUUCUCUUAUAAAAAUAAAAAAACCUAAAAAAGUAAACAAAUUUACAUAUACUAAUUUUUAUAUCUAUAUAUAUGUAUAUAAUAUUUUGAUUAACCAAUAGGAAAAUUAACAAAAAAAAAUUUUGGUAGGGUGAGGGGGACCAACCCUUCAUUUAUUAUAGAAAAAAAAAUAGAAAAUUACAUACGAACAUUAACAAAUUUGCUUUUACAUGUGAUAUUGGUCAAUUAAAUAAAUCUAGCAUGCAUUAACUAAUUAAAAAGACCAUCGAAAUAUUGAUUUUUCCCGCCUAAAAUAUUACAAAAAUAAAUUUCCCGCAAAAAACAUUUCAAAAAAAAAGUCCGCCCAAAGUUUUUUUCCAAAAAUAUUUUUCCUACAAAAACCUUUUUGGCGGGAAAAAGAUUUACAAUGGGUUUUAAAAGAUUUUUAAAGGCUUUACAAGAGUUUUAAAUGAUUUACAAGUGUUUUUGAAAGAUUUUUAUAUGGUUAACAAGGGUUUUAAAGGAUUUUAAAAAAGAUUUAAAACCCUUUAAAAACUUUUGUAAAUCUUUUUAAAAUAUUUUGUAAGGGUUCAAAAGAUUUUUAAAAUGGUUCAAAAUUAUGAAAGGGUUUACAAGGGUUUUUGAAAAGAUUUUUAAAUGGUUUACAAGGGUUUUAAAGGAUUUACAAGGUGUUUUAAAAGAUUUUUAAAAGAUUUACAAGGGUUUUAAAAUCCGUUAAAAACACUUGUAAAUCUUUUUAAACCCUUUUAUAAGGGUUCAUAAGAGUUUUAAAAUGGUUCAGAAAGAGUUACAAAUGUUUUAAAAUAAUUACAAAUUAUUUUAAAUCUUUAACAAAAUGAUUUAAAGACUUUAUAAGAGGUUUAAAAAGAUUUUAAAAAGAUUUACAAAGGUUUUAAAAAUCCUUGUAAAUUGUUUGAAAACCAUUGUAAAAGGUUUUAAAAUGAUUUAAAAAAGGGUUUAAAAGGGGUUUAAAAGUAUUAACAUAUGUAUUUAAAGACUUUAUAAAGAUUUUAAUAGGUUUAAAAAUGAUUCACAAGAGUUUUUUUAACAACUUUACAGAGCUUUUUAAAAACUUUACAAGGUUUUCUUAAGAGUUUUUAAAGGGUUCUUAAAAAUUUUACAAGGAUUUUUAAAUUCUUUUUUUUGUAGGGAAACAAUUUUGAGGAGAAUAUUUUUUUUGGCAAGGAAAAAGUUUACAAGGAUUUUUGACGAGAAUAUCUUUUUGGCGGGGAAAAUAAAUUUUGGUGCAAAACAUUUUUGGCGGAAAAAUUUCAGUUUCUAAUUAUAUGUUCUUACUAGAUUUUAACCCGCGGUGUACCGCGGGACUAUUUAUUUUAUUAAAAAUAACUAAAAAUAUAUUAUUUUAUAAAUUAUCUGUAUGUAACAUAUUGUUUGUAUUUUAUAAAUAUAUAAUCCUAAUUUCUAUAUAUUGUACAAUCCCUUGAUUUUAUCAUGGAGUACACCGUAAGUCGAUUUUUAAAAUUUAAAAUUUAAAAUUAUAUAUGAUUUUUGUUAAGAUUGUUUCUUUUGUCAUAUAUUUUAAAUUAUAUCAUUGUAUUUUAAUUGUUAGUUAUAGGAUUUCACCCGUUGUAUAACGUGUCGUAUUACUAUAAACUCAAACCCGUCUUACCAUCUAAUUCCGUUCAAUGAAAUUAAACAUAUUUAAUGGAUUUCAUCCUAGGUAUAUUGUCUCAUAUUACUAUCGACCCAAACCCGUCCUACCAACUAACCCCGUUCAAUAAAAUGAAAUAUUAUUUUAUUAUUUUUGUUUUAAUAAUACUUUAAUUUGAAAUAUAUAUAAUUCAAAUCAAUUUCAAACUUUUUAUUUUAAAUGGUUAUUUAAUUGUUAUAAUUUAUAAAGUUCAUAUAUUUUAAUAUUCUAAACUCGUCAUACCAUCUAAUCCCGUUCGGUGAAAUUAAACAUUAUUUUUUAAUUUUUUUGCUUAAAUAAUAUUUUUAUUAACAGAUUUAUAAUUCAAAUAAAUUUAAAAGGUGUCGUUCAAAUAGUUAUUUGAUUUUUUAUAGAUUUCACAUCUAAAAUAUUUCUCUAUAUGUAACAUAUAGUUUUGUAUUUUAGAAAUAUUAUAAACGUUUUUUCCUUAAAUAUUAUAAACGUUUUAAAAACUUUAAAUAAUUACAAUAUUUACCUUUUAAUAAAGUAUAAUAUUAAUAAUCAUUUAAAUAAUUAUGUGUAGCUAAUUUUAAGGGAUUUGAUUUAAAGCUUGUUGUUUGGAUUAAAUUUGAAUGAAUAAUGUGAUUGAUAUAUUAAAUCAAGAAUUAAAAAUCAAAUCAAAUAAUUAAGGAAAAAAGAAUUAAUGCCAAUGGCAUGCCAUUGUAAAUAAGUGUCAAGUAGAGGAUUUAUUUGCUAAAAUAUAAUUUUAGUUUUUUAAAAAUUAACUGAAAAUAUAUUAUAUUAAUUUGUAUUUUUAAAUAUAGAUAUCAAUCUCUGUAUUAUUUAGUAUAUGAUUACUAUUAUUUAGGUUUCAAUUUUUGAAGUAUAGAUACGAAAAUACAUAUUUUUUUAAGUAACGAUGUAUGGUGAAUUUUAAAUUUUUAAUAUUUUAUCCAUAAUAUACCGUGGGUCGAUUUUUUAUAGCUAAAUUUUUAAAUUUCAAGUUAUAAUCGUUUUGUUAAUAUUGUAUGAUUUUUUGUGUUUAAGGUUGUAUAAUUGUAUUUUAAUUGUAAAUUUUAAGAUUUCAUCAAUGAUAUACCUUUCUUUAUUAAUAUCGAUCAAAACCCGUCAUCCAAUAUAAACCCGUCUAUAUUAUCUCGUUAGCUAAAUAUUAGUAUUAUAAAAUCCAAGAAAAUAAAUUAUUAUUGUUAGAAAUACAAUAAUUUUAGGAUCUCACCCGUGUUAUACUGUUUUUGAAUGAUUUUAAAUUUCUACUACUAAUAUAGAUUUUAAAUUUGUCAUAUAAAGUAUAUGAUUUUAACUUUUUGUAUUUUUUUAUUUAAAUAAAGCAACGGCUUAAAUGAUGAUAGAUAUAGUUCUUUUUUUGUAUGUGUAUAUGAUUUUUAUGUGAAUAUUUUCAUUAUUAUAAAUUAGUAUUUUUAUUGUUAUGCAAAAUGUUAAUAUAAAUAUUUUCUAUAAAUCGGAUUUAUGCAUAUUUUAUGGAGUAAAAUUCACAGAAUUUUGUUUUUGAAGAUAUAUGGAAAGAUUGUGUAGAGAUUUUUAGAAAUAAAUUAGGCAAGAUAUCGUUUGGUUAAUAUCUUUUAAAAUUUUGUAAAACUAAAUAAUAAAUGCUAGUGACAGCCGUUGUAAAUAAGUCUGAACUCCAGGAUUUAUUUCACAAAAUGGUUGCAAAAAUGUAUAUGUAGAUUAGAUGAGGAUAAUUUGUUCAUUUUGUUCAAAAAAAAAAGGGAGAUUUGCAAAACUACCAUUUUUUACUACCCUUUUGCAACAAUACCCUUUUAUAUUGUUCAUUUUUAAAAAUAUCCCUUCUCUUGAACAGAAUGACCAAAUUACCCUCAUCUAAUAAGAACAUGUAAUUGGAAACUGAAAAUUUCCCGCCAAUAUUUAUUUUUCCCGCCAAAAAAAAAUUUCCGCCAAACUUUAUUUCCCGCCAAAAUUUUUUCUCGUAAAAUUUUUUUCCCAGCCAAAAUAAUGCUUUUAAAAAUCCUUAUAAAUUUUCUUAAAACUCUUUUAAAAAACCUUGUAAAGUUUUUUAAAAGCUUUGGUAGUUGCUAAAAACCCUUGUAAAUCAUUUUAAAACCUCUUAAAAUCUUUAUAAAGUCUUUAAAAACAUAGGUAAAUACUUUAAAACACCUUUUUAAACCUUUGUAAAUCAUUUCAAAAUUUCCACAAUAGUUUUACAAGAUUUACAAUCAUUUUUUAGCAUAAGUAAGUGGCAUUGAAUGAUUUACAAGGGAUUUUAAAAGCUUAUAAAAGGGUAAAACAUGAUUUACAAUCGUUUUUAAAGCAUAAGUAAGUGGCAUAUAAUGAUUUACAAGGAUUUUUAAAAAGGGUUAGCAUGGUUUACAAUAUUUUUUUAAGCAUAAGUAAGUGGCAUUGGAAUUAUUUACAAGGGAUUUUAAAAGCUUAUAAAAGGGUAAAACAUGAUUUACAAUCGUUUUUAAAGCAUAACUAAGUGGCAUAGAAUGAUUUACAAGGAAUUUUAAAAGUGUUUGUAUGGUUUACAAUCGUUUUAAAGCAUAAGUAAAUGGCAUUGAUUGAUUUACAAGAGAUUUUAAAAGGGGUUAACAUGAUUUACAAUCGUUUUAAAGCAUAAAUAAGUGUCAAAGAAUGAUUUACAAGGGAUUUUAAAAAAGGUUUGCAUGGUUUACAAUCGUUUUUAAAGGAUAAGUAAGUGUUAUAGAAUGAUUUACAAGGAUUUUAAAAGCUUAUAAAAGGGUAAAACAUAAUUUACAAGAGUUUUUUUAAAGAGUUUUAAAAGGAUUUACAAGGAUUUUAAACCUUUGUAAAUCCUUUUAAAACUCUUAUAAAGUCUUUACAAGUAUUUUUUAACUCUUAGAAAAAGAAUUGUAAGUAUUUAAAACAUUUACAACUCUUUUAAACCAUUUUAAAACUCUUGUGAAUCUUUACAAAAGGUUUUAAAAAGACUAGAUGAAUUCCUACGCUAUGCGAGGGUUUGUUUUGAAAAUUGUUUAGAUAAAAAUAUGUUAAUUAUUUUUGUUGCUAAUUUCUGUUUAUUUUUUGUUUGUUAUUUUAUAAUUAGUAAAAUUAGACUCAUCUUAUGUACUUGCAUUUUUUAUUGUUAGGUUCAUUUUUGACUCUAAAAUAUCAAUUUCUAUAUGUUUUCAUGUAUAAUCUGAUUAUUUUUAUAACCAAGAUUCUAAAAUUUGUUUAUUAUCAUGAAUAUACACAACAAGAAUAAAAGAUGUUUUUAUUUCAAGAGUUUUCAUAUGAAAAAAAAGAAGCAAAAAUUAAAGAGUUAUUUUAGUAACACUUUUUAGAUUUAUGCUAUUGCAUAUAGCCAUAUAAGACAAAUGGAUUUGUUUUGAAUUUCGUGGUAUGUCUAACGUCUCAAAAAUCUAUUACUUGAAAAUGUUUAAUGUCAAUGUUACGAACUUACCAUAAGAUACAAAAAUAAAAAGACAGAAUUUCAUAUGAUAAGAUAUGAACCAUAACGUAAUAAUAAUAAAAAAAUCAAGGUAAAAUAAUUAAACUAAUAUUAGGUAGCAAACAACUAAAGUACAACACAAAUAACUAUUUAGUCAUUAUAGAGUGAUGACCAUUGACCAUUAAGUUUUUUUAAAAAUAUGAAAUAAUAAAGUAAAAUAAAAGUAGUAAUUGAUUUAUUUAAAUAAAUAAUUUUAUAAAUUUUUUAUUUUGAAUAAAAUUAUUUAAGAAAUGAACUAAUGGAGGAUUUAACACAAUAUGAGACUUUUGAUUUUCUCUCAAUUAAUUUUGCUGAUUUUUAAUUUAAUCAAUGUUAAUUGACACAUGUCAUUUUCUUGUGUGAUGAUGUGUCACCCAUAUGGAGAAAGUUGGCCAACUUUCAUAUAUAUGAUUUACAAGAGUUUUUAAACGGUUUCUUAUAAUUUCUUUUAAAAUCUUUUAAAAACUCUUGUACAUCUUUUAAAACCCUUUAAAAAUCCCUUGUAAAUCUUUUAAAACACUUUUAAAUCCUUUAAAAAUCUUUAAAAAACUCUUGUAAGUCUUUUAAAGCCCUUUAAAAUCCCUUGUAAAUCUUUUAAAACCCUUUUAAAAUCCCUUGUAAAUCUUUUAAACCCUUUUAAAAUCUUUUGUAAAUCUUUUAAAACCCUUUUAAAAUCCCUUGUAAAUAUAUUUCCCGCCAAAAAACAAUUGUUUACGGGAAAAAUGUUUUCGAAAUUUUUUUUUGGCGGGAAAAUUUUGGCGGGAAAUUUUAUUUUGGAAUAUUUUAGGCAAAAAAUAUUAAUAUUUCAUUUUGUUAACCUAAAUCAAUUUACAAAUAGGAAUAAAAGGGUCAUUAAAAAUUUAAAUAGGGUAUAAAUGAAAAUGGUAAAUAGAAAAGGGUAGAAUUGAAAAGGGGUAGUGUGAAAAGGGCAUUAGAAAGAAUUUUUCAUUUUUAAUUAUACUUUCUUCUAAUUUUUAGUGAUCAUUUUAACCCUAUUUGAAAAUGUUUUAGGUUAACAAAAUGAAAUAUUGAUUUUUUCCACCAAAACGGCUUUUUGCCUAAAGAAACUUUCACGCCAAAAAAUUUCCCGCCAAAUUGGUUUUUUCAAAAACAAUUUUCCCCAUAUAACAAAAAAAAUGGCGGAAAAUAUAUUUUUAAAACCUUUGUAAUUCUUUUUAAAACUCUUGUAAAACUUUUUGAAACCUUUUGUAAGGGUUCACAAGAGUUUUAAAAUAUUUCAAAUUUUUUUACAAAUGUUUUAAAAUAUUAAAACAAAACUUUUUAAGAGUUGAAAAAUGAUUUAAUAAUAAGAAUUUUAAAAGGCCUUACAAAAGUUUCUAAAAUCCUUGUAAAUCGGUUUAAAACUAUUUGAAAACUUUUGUAAAUAAUUUUAAAACCUUUUACAAUGGUUUUAAAAGAAUUAUAAGUAUCUUUAAAUAUUUAUUAAGGUUUUGAAGUAUUUACAUGUGUAUUUAAAGACUUUAUAAAGAUUUUAAAAGAUUUCAAAAUGAUUUACAAGUGUUUUUAAGAACCGUACAAAGCUUUUAAAAAACUUUACAAGGAAUUUUAAGAGUUUUUAAAGGAUGUACAAGAGUUUUCAAAAAAUAUUUUGCGGGAAAAAAACAAUUUGGUGGGAAAACUAAAUUUUGGAGCCAAAACUUUAUUUGGCGAGUAAACUAAAUUUUGGCGGACAAAUUUCAGUUUCUUAUUAAAUAUUCUAAUUAAAUGGAGGGUAAUUUGGUUAUUUUGUUCAUGAAAAAGGAUAUUUUAAAAAAUAGACAAUGGUAAAGGGUAUUUUUGCAAAAGAGCAUUGGAAAAGAGUAUUUUUACAAAUCUUCCAAAUACAUUUGGGUAUAUUUGGUACCUACCUAUUUAUUAAAUUUUAUUCAUUAAAGCUUUGAUGGAUUUUGAAACCUCUUACAUUGGAUAGUUCCAUAUUUAACAAUAUAGACUAGGUCAGUACUCGUGUUUCGCAAGGGGUUCAUGAUUUAAUUAGUUUAUAAAUUUUGUUUCUGUAUAUAUUACUAAUAUAGUUUUAUUUUUAUUCAAAAUAGAUUUUUAGAUUAUCAAUUCCCAAAACACUAUCCUGUCGUUGUAGUAUUUUAGGUUGUCAAUCCAAUCUGCUGGUGUGAUGCAAACAGAUAAGAUAUUAUUAGAAUGCACUAAGUCAAACCAAGCAGAGAGUUUUUGGUUUCUAACAGUCCUCAUAUGAAAUAAAAGAACUGAAAUAAAACUGAAAUGCAAAAUGGCAGUAACAUGCAAAUGAAUGACAAAGCAGAUAAGAUAACAGGCAAUCAAAUGGAUAAGAGAUUCCUAAGGAUGGAGUAAUCGAAUAGCGUGGUCUCCUUAAUCUAUUUAGACGGUUGACAAAACUUCACAGAAGAUAUCUCUAGAAAACAAGUUCAAUGAAAGAUUAAUUCACUACCGUGUAAGAAAUCCUAAAGUGACGUUAUCUCCAUUAGCGAUCUCUAACUAAGCAGACAAUAUCGAAUCAACUUGUUAAAGCCAAUACCCGUUCUAAACGGCCAAUACCUUGGGAUAGAGACGAAUAUCACUGGAAUUAAUAGAUCCGACAUUCCAUCGAACGCCUUCUGAGCGCGGGAAUGUCUGGAUUCAUAUUCCAGUUGAUCAUAAAGGAACAAGCAAUAAGCGCAACUAAUCUAGAAGGGAUUCCAAUAUUCUAAACUCAACCAUCUAGACGACUAAGGUUACCACAACUACUCUAUCCCAUCCUCAGAAAUACAAUUCACUACUCAGACAUAAGCAAAGACAAUAUCAUAGAAACGAAUGAAAACAUGAUAAGGGAUCGAGAAAUGACAAAAGAUAAACGAAAUGAUACUAAGACUGAAAUAUUUAAUACUUGAAAGUGAAUACAAAAUCGCAGGAGAGCGUUGCGGCUACAAAAGUUUUAGAAAAAAGGAUCAUGCCCUAGGGAAAACCCCUAGAGGCUAUUUAUAAAAGCAAGACAAGUUAAGUAAGGAAAGUCUUUGAUAGUAGUCUUCACAUCGGGAGAUUGCGAUUGGGCAUAUGAUGGGCUGAAAUGGGACUCACUGCGAUGGAGUAUGUCAUGGAUCAAACUUGGCUUCAGGGACUCCACCUUGCAAUCGUGUGGUCUGGAGUGAAGACGAGAUAAAAUUGUCCAGCGACCCUGCGAUCGAGUAGAUGUCAUGAGGUGGUGAUCGAGUGGUUUCUUCAGCUUCUCUUCUCUUCCGUAUGCUCAGUGUUGGUGUCGGAUCCCGCACCAAAAGUCCGAAGUCGUCUCAGCCUGUAAUAAGCCCAAUCGCUGACUUAAUAAUGAUUUUACAAAUAUUUUUAAAAGGGGUUUAAAACGUUAAUAAUGAUUUUACAAGGAUUUUUAAAAGGAUUAGUACCUGAGCAGUAGGAAAAGAAUGAGAAACAAAAGGAUUUGAAGUCGUCUCAACCUAUAAUUAACACAAUCACUGACUUACUAAAUCUAUAUAUAAACCAUUUUUAAAAUUAUAACACAAGAAAGUUAUUGAAAAACCUACUCCACUGUCACAGAAAUUUGCUCUACUCUGUGAGAAUUUGUGCAUAAAAGUUGCAAGUUGUCUAUCGUUUCUAAUAUAAAGAGGAUGAGAUUGUAUUGUUCUAGAAGUGGAGACUUGCUUAUAACUAAGCUUCAAAGAAUUGGUUGAACUAUCUAUUCGAAAAUUCUCUACAAGAAUAUCAACCAAUGCGUGAUAGGUAAUGUGCUCAUCAAUGAGCACUAAAGAAGCUCCCAUUUCAAUGUCUAAUUCAAAUUCCCAAGUCAUAUUGUUUGUCAACUUCCACAAACCACAAACAGAAUACUAUUCUAUCAUUAUAACCUGAUAAGAUAAAUAACAACAAAAUCAAUACCCACAAACAUUGUCACUACAGAGAGAAGCAUGGUUUACAAUUAUUUUUAAAGCAUAAGUAAGUGGCAUAUAAUGAUUUACAAGGAAUUUUAAAAGCUUUGAAAAUGGGUUAACAUGAUUUACAAUCAUUUUUAAAGCAUAAGUAAGUGGCAUAGAAUGAUUUACAAGGAAUUUUAAAAGCUUUGAAAAGGGGUUAACAUGGUUUACAAUCGUUUUUAAAGCAUAAGUAAGUGGCAUAUAAUGAUUUACAAGGAAUUUUAAAAGCUUUGAAAAGUGGUUAACAUGGUUUACAAUCGUUUUAAAGCAUAAGUAAAUGGCAUAGACCUAUCACGAAAGCGUAAGUAAAGGGGUAAACACUAAAUCAAAACCAAAAUUUAUCACGGAACAAUAUAACGAAUUCAAAUCUAUCACAAAACAGUAUAACGAAUUCAAAAGGAAUUAACGAAUUCACAUAAUCAACCCCAAAAUCGAAAGCAAAAUAGUAGAAUUUACAAGGAUUUUAAAAACAAUUCAAUCAUUAAAUCUCAAACAAAAUUCAAAUUCGAAGCAUCAACAAAUGUCAAAUUGUCGAUUGAAUCAAUAUCACGAAUCACAUAAGCAACAACAAAAUCGAAAACGAGACAUUUAGGCUAAAAUUACAAAUUCGAAAUCGAUUCCAUGAGAGAAAAACAAACAUGGGGAAAACAAGAGAUUGAAAUGAAGACUGAGACGGUGAAAUCGAUAACACGAAUCCGACAAUCUCCGACGGCCACGACGCAAUGCGACAGCGACAAUUAAAACAAUCUCCGACGGCGAUGACAGACGAAGAAUACAUAUGACAUCAAUUGAAAUUAGAUCGAUUAGUCUCUGUAGUUCACUAAGGGUAUUUUGGGGAUAAAAUAAUUAGGUGGGGUAGAAAUAAAAAUGGCUAAAAAAUGGGUAAAGUUUAAAAGGAGCAUCAUGAAAAGGGCAUUAGAAAGAAUUUUACAUAAUUAUAUAAUAAAAUAUGUUUUCCUUAUAAAAAUGGUUUCUAUCACUAACUCUUUAACCAUCAACAACCUACUAUUUUAUUAAAUGACAUUGUUUUUUCCUUAGAUUCUUAUUGGAUAUCUCUUCUAAGUCGUUAAUAUUCAUUUUCUUUAUUUUUGAAUUAGUAUUUAUUUUGCAUUUUUCUCUAAACUACAAUAUGUUGUUGUAUGUUUGUCUUUGUUUGAGGUUAGUAUAUUUUUUACUCAUCGCUAUUUGCCAAUUUUCAUAAUUAUUUUGAAUCAAUGGUGGAGUAUUUAUUAAGAUAUUAGUUUGUUUAGUGACAAAGUAUGAGAUAAUAUAUUUUUUUACAAAUGUGAGUACUUACAAUUUGUUUUCUUAUAGGAUUAACAACUGAUUGUAUAAUUUUUUUAAUCCUUUUUCUAUUUUUCAUAUUUUUCUUGUUUAGUUAGUAACUUAUAAUUAAAACAUUUAGAUUAAUUUUCUAAAUUCUAUAGUUUUAGAAAAUAAACAUAUAAUUUUAUUAUAUAUAAGUAUAGUUUCCUUAUAAUAAUCUUUUUAUAUUCUUCAAACUGUUUAAAUUGUAUAAUUUUGUUGUAAUUAUUUUUUUAUAAUUUUUUAAUUGUUAAAUACAAAACUUUUGUUUGCGACAUAACAAAAAUCUCCUAUGAAAAUAUAGGUAUUAAAAUUGCAUUGAUAGAUUUGAAAUUUCGUGUUUUUUUUAGUUGAAAUUUAUCCUCUUAAUUAUAUGAUUUUAAUUUUUACUUAUUUUGAAAAUCUGUACUUUUCAUUUUUUAUGCAUAUAUCAAAAUAGAGAAGCAUUUCCAUAUGUACAUGUGUGAAAUCUCAUUAAUAAAUGGACAUAACUUUAUACUUUUAUUUUUUAUAAUAUUUUUUAUUUUUUAUAAUGCAUAGUUUCAUUAUAAUUAUCCUCUAUCUUUUAUAAUAUUGUUCUAAAAAAUUUAUUUUUUAUACAUGUCAAAAUCUAAGAUCUCUAAAAUUGACCCGUGUUAUAAUCUCCUGAGUUACUAUCAAAACCGUACUUUGUAUAAUAAGAUCCCUUUAGGUAGACAAAUAUUUGUACUUUUUUAUGUUAGUAUCCAACAUUAUAUUUUGUUGCCUAAACUGAACAUUAUUAAAUUGUUAAUUAUAAGAUUUCACCUAUAGUAUACCUUCCCGUAUUAAUAUCGAUCCAAACUCGUCCCACCAUAUAACUAUACAACACUGGUUAUUUAGAAUUUCGAUUGCCCUUUAAGGAUAACAAAAGAAAGAAACAACAAAUG
rnacentral:lncRNA from 1 species